rnacentral:lncRNA from 1 species
UUUUUUUUUUGUUACAGUUAUGACCUAAUGCUAUUGAUUUUGUCAAAUGCAACUGUUUUAAUGUUAAUUUUUGAUGAGUUUAAUGUAGAAAUGUGUGUUGUUUUAAAGGUUCUGAUUUGUGAGAAAAAUGUCAUCAAAUUUGGAACCAAUACCAAUAACAUCACAAAAACAUGACCCAGCAUGGAAACAUUGUCAAAUGUUUAAGAAUGGUGAAAGGGUACAAUUGAAGUGUAUAUAUUGUGGCAAAAUAUUUAAAGGUGGUGGGAUUCAUAGGAUUAAGGAACAUUUAGCUGGUCAUAAGGGUAAUGCUGCUACUUGUCUGCGUGUCCCAUCCGAUGUUCGUGUUUUGAUGCAAGAAAGUUUAGAUGGGGUUGUGGUAAAGAAAAGGAAAAAACAAAAGAUUGCGGAGGAGAUAACGAAUGUUAAUCAGGUUUCUACCGAGAUACAGGCGUAUGGCGAUCAGGUUGACACUAAUACUGGAUUGCUUAUGAUUGAAAAAUCUGAUACACUUGAGCCUAGUUCGAGUUUGUUAGUUAAUCGGGAAGGAACAAGUAAUGUUGCUGGGGAGAGGAGAAAGAGGGGAAGAGGUAAAAAUUUGCCUGCUGAGGCUAAUGCCCUUAGUUUUGUUCCGGUUGAGUUAGGUGCAAGGAGAGUAAAUAAUCAUGUACAUAUGGCAAUAGGGAGAUUUUUGUUUGAUAUUGGUGCAACUAUGGAUGCUGUUAAUUCAGUUUAUUUCCAGCCAAUGGUUGAUGCUAUUGUCUCGGGAGGAUCUGGGGCUCUAAUGCCUUCAUGUAAUGAUCUUCAGGGUUGGAUAUUGAGGAAAUUGGUGGAGGAAGUGAAGAGUGAAAACGAUAAAGUAAUGGGGGCAUGGGUAAGGACUGGUUGUUCUAUUCUGGUCAACCAAUGGAACACUCAAACAGGUCGAAUCUUGCUAAACUUUUUGGUGUAUUGUCCUGAAGGAACAGUGUUUUUGAAAUCUAUAGAUGCUUCUAGUGUAAUCAAUUCCUCGGAUGCUUUGUAUGAAUUGCUUAAGCAAGUGGUGGAAGAAGUUGGAUCUAAGCAUGUCUUGCAAGUGAUCACGAAUGGCGAGGAACAAUAUAUUGUUGCUGGGAGGAGGUUAGCUGAAACUUUCCCUACUCUGUAUUGGACUCCUUGUGCAGCUCAUUGUGUAGACUUGAUACUUGAGGAUUUUGCGAAGCUUGAAUGGAUCAAUGCAAUAAUUGAGCAAGCUAGAUCUAUUACGAAAUUUAUCUAUAAUCAUAGUGUGGUCUUGAAUAUGGUAAGACGGUAUACUUUUGGCAAUGAUAUUGUUGAACCAGCAGCCACUCGCUCAGCUACAAACUUUACAACGUUGACUCGGAUGGUUGAUCUUAAAAACAACUUGCAGGCCAUGGUUACUUCACAGCAGUGGGUAGACUGCCCAUAUUCAAAGAAACCAGGGGGACUGGCGAUGUUGGAUUUGGUGAGUAAUCAGUCAUUUUGGUCCUCUUGUAUUCUGAUUGUUCGGUUAACCAAUCCUCUUCUUCGAGUUCUGAGAAUGGUUGGCAGCAAGAAGAGGCCUGCAAUGGGAUAUGUUUAUGCUGGCAUGUAUCGAGCAAAAGAAACAAUUAAGAAAGAAUUAGUCAAGAGGAAUGAAUAUAUGGUCUAUUGGAAUAUUAUAGAUCACUGGUGGGAACAACAAUGGCACCAUCCUCUUCAUGCUGCUGGUUUCUACCUUAACCCCAGGUUCUUUUAUAGCAUGGAAGGAGACAUGCCUAAUGAGAUGCUGUCAGGGAUGCUUGAUUGUAUAGAGAAAUUGAUUCCUGAUGUAACAGUUCAAGAUAAAAUCUCCAAGGAGAUAAACUCAUACAAGAAUUCCGUUGGAGAUUUUGGGAGGAAGAUGGCAGUUAGAGCUAGAGACACUUUACUCCCUGGUGAGAGUCUAUCUUAUGGAUGCUUUCUAAACUUUGGCUGCUAUAUUUCAACUUAAAUUAUUGUUGUAAUUUAUGCUUUUAGUAAGAGUAGUUAGUAGAUUCUUUCUAUUUCCUGCUACUAGAUUGCAAAUUGAAUUACCGAAUAUCCUAGAACAAUGAAGUCAAAGAAAAUGCUGUCUUCCUUGCUUUGGUUGAAUAAGAUGUUGAUUUGGCUAAGGUGUGGCAAUUCUGGCUACUAAAGAACCUUCAAGGGGAAAAGCGUAACUAACUUAUAGGUGAUUUGAAUUUCUGCAUGCGUUGUUCUCAUCAUUAUUUGUGUGCAUGACAUGAAUUCCAAAUUCUUACACGUGCUUGUGCAAUGGAUAAUACGUCAAACUUAUCUGGUUGAAGUAGCUCUGUUGCACAUAGAGCAUGCUUGUGUUUCACCAUUUGUGUCCUGUUGUGAUAUCCUUUUCCCUAAUUUCUUUCAAUUGGCUGAUCAUUGCUUUGUAUGCUGAUUGCUAUAGUUGAAUGGUGGUCAACAUAUGGAGGAAGUUGCCCAAAUUUGGCUCGUUUGGCUAUCCGUGUCCUUAGUCAGACUUGCAGUACUUUUGGGCUUAAGCAUAAUCACAUUCCUUUUGAAAAAUUGUAUGAAACAAGGAAUUGCUUAGAGCAGCAGCGGCUCAGAGACCUCAUCUUUGUUCAAUGCAACUUGCAAUUAAGACAAAUGUAUGCAGAAUCUCACUCAUUUACGGAUUAUGCAUUUGGCGCAACAAAAUUUUAUCUUCAGUUGAUGAUUUUUCUUUCAGAGGUUAUGAGAGCAAGCAACAUGAUUCUAUGCAGCCCUUGUCAUCUGAGUCUGCCUCUAUUGUGGAAGACUGGGUUACAGGAAUUGACGCAUUUUUGGAUGACGAUACCUAUCCGGAUUGGACAACACUUGAGACACUUUCUGUAAACACAAUGCUUUUAAGACCUGGUGAUGAAGUGGAAGAGUUAGGUGCAGGUAAUUUUGUUUCUUGGAUAUGGUAAUCUCACCAAAGAAGGUUCUUUCUCUCUGUGUAUUUAUUUGAUCUUUUCAUGCAGGUUUUAAUGAUCAUGAGAUUUUCAAUAGAAUGAAAGAGGGUGACAACGAAAAUGCUGAAGAUAAUGUAGUAAGCUAGCCGAAGACCAUUUCUAAUCUUGAUAAUCCUAGAUGGUGACCGAUGGCAAAUAAUGUAAAUUAGUGUAAUAACUAAUGACUAGAUUUAUAGGAACUGCUCUACCAUUCUGUUAAGAAAAGAGUAGAAACAUCAGAGAAUUAGAUUUUUAGUCAGGAUUUGACAAUAUGUUAACAAUUUUUAUCAAUUCAUGGUUAGAAUAUUAGAAAGUUUUAAGCAUAGUUCAGGCCUUUCAUCUUAACCCAAAAACAUGCUUGACCAUUGGGCUGAUAUAUUGUCUUGAAUGUCACUUGUCAUUGAUUCUGAGAUAUAGUAACACAAAUUCUUGCUAACCUCUGGAUCGGGACUUACCUUAUAACUAUUUAGCUACUUUUAGUUCAGUAUAAUUUUAUCAUCAUUACUGCAAUUCAUCCAAGUAGGUUUACUGUUACCCUACUCUUUGAUCUUUGCACGAGUAUUUCAGAGAAGAUGAGCUUGAACCUGCCUGCUGCUUCUUCCUUAUCUGUUCAUUUUCCUUUACUUUCUGCUUUAUUUAAUGAGAUUGAAAACAUUAGCAAGUAGUAAACUGUGGUAUUCUUGAUGCUGGAAUGCGUGAUUCUGAAGCAGCGGAUAUGGUGAAUUCUUGGAAUAGAAUGGUAAGCAAGGCAUCUUUACCCUACUCCAACCACCCUUUUUUACUUCCUUCCCUGAUUGAAGAUGCAUCUAAAAUCAUUGGAAGAUGAAAAUACUGAUUUCAUUUGUGUUAUAAAGUUUGUGUGCUUGUUUGACUGAUUGGUGGCAGUAUAUGGUGGUUGAUCAUUUCAUUUUAUUCCUAAUAGCAAAGUUGAAAAUUAUUGGAAAUUCCCUCUUGAUGACUGAAAACUCAAGCUUGUCAUAGGUGUUUUCCCACAUCGGUUAAAUUCGAGUUUGCUUGCAGUCUUGUAUUGAAGUUUGAUCUCUUGUUGCCAAUCGGUUUUAGGUCGAAUGCUUUAACAUGGUAUCGGAGCUCAAGUUUUCUUCUGUCGUUCUUUCUUGUUACUUGUAGGAGAAUCUUCUAAAAGAAACAUGACAAGUUCAUUUAGGGGAGAGAAUAUGAACUUGUUUCCAUCAUUAAAUGAUUCAGAGGUUAUUUUAAUUGAUUCAUGUAAUUACUCUUAAAGUCUCAUCUAGUACCUCCGGAUUUCAAAUUCCAGCACCUGUCAUCACUUUAUUUACAAACUAUUAUUUUCUUUAUGCCAAUCUUGGCUUUGUUUGACAAUGAAAUAGUCCCUAUCCAUUCCAAUCAAAUGACCCACAUUAUUUCUUAGAGUGAGAUUUUGUCUAAAAAGUUCGAUUUUUCUUUUUCUCUGUAAAACACUAAAUCAUUGUAAACCUCAAAAAUCUAGAAGAUAAGGAAAAAUAAAUUUUGUAUAGAUCACCAAAUUCAUUGCUCCAUAGCCAACAAUCCCCAAAAAUGAAAACACAGCAAGCAGGAGGGCAAAAUUUUUGGCAAAAACACACCUUUAGCCAUAGAGAUCAAAUUUGAGAUUUCAAUGACUUAAGUUAAAGAAGUCCUGGGGGGUAAAUUAGUUGAAAAUUUUCUGCAAGUAGCCUAUCAUGAAGCAGGCAAAAGACAUCUGAGUACUUAAUUACGGUGAGGUUUGCCCAGGGUGGUCCACUUUUCCCCAAUUGUAGCAAAUAUGCAGCACUUGGGAAACAUCUGUAAUCAUAAUUUCUUCAACCAUCUUGUUCUUUGAUCCGUCAAGUAGUGCAGUGCCAUAUUUUGAGUUAUUUUUCACUUCUUUUUAAAGUAUACAUUUUUAGUCAAACAUCUCUUAGAAAAUGUAUUUUUUCGAAUAUUUUUACGAUGAGUUGUUUCAUGAUAGCACUUUCUAUUAAAAGAGUUUGUUCUAAGCAAUUAAUAUAUUUGGAAAAUAAUUAUUCUAAACAAGAAUUGUUUUAAAUGAAAAUAUUUAUAUUUUAACAUAAUUGUUCUUGCAGAAUAUUUAUUCUAAAUAAGAGUUGUUUUGAAUAACGGUUGUUCUCAAUAGAAACUAUUUUCGAAUGACAAUUACUCUGGAUGAUAGUUGUUUGAAGCAAGAGUUCUAUUUUGGACAUAUAUGUUCUAAACAUAACUAUUCUCAAACAACAACUAUUUUAAAUAAAAAUUAAUCGUUCGAAAAGUAAUGUUAAAAAAUGGUUCUUUCUAAAGCCAAUUCUAUUAGCUAUAACUUUAAACUAAAGCUAGAAAUGAGCAUGAUACAUACAAGCACUUUAUUAGUUCUAGUGAAAAUUACUAGAUACAAUGCUAGUUACAACUUAAGGAACAUCUAUCAUGUUAUUGUAACUUGCCUUAUAUGGUUGGCAUGUUUUGAACCAAGACUAUUUGGACUUUUAAUUGAUUAUCCAUGAGGCUUUUUAGCUUCCCAUUAUUAAAUAUAUUUCGUGCAAGAUUUGAGCCAAGUAAGGAGAAUAUCAAGGCUUACAAUAUGAUUGAAGUUACCUUAAAUAAAAGAUUUGAUCUUUAAGGAAUUUGAUGACAAAAAAAGCUUUGCAUAAUAUACUUAAUAUUGAAGAUCUUUUUCAUGACUAUUUUAGUGGAAUUAAAGAUUGAUAUUGAUUACAAUUUAACAAGCCUUUUAUGUUUACACAUUAGAUGGCUUGUUGGGUUAAGUAGUGAGAGAGAGAGAGAGAGAGAGAGAAGGCACUCAUUUUGUUCCAUUAGGAACUAUUAUUUGAGUGCAAAAUUGUAACUAACUGAAUUGUUUUCAUCAGUUUACAUUUUCAUGAGGAGAAUUCUUAAAGGGAAAGUGAUAUAGUUUGAAGCCUACGAGUGAGGUUGCAAUUUGGUAAGUGAGUUGGACUUAAAUAAUAAUUUGUACUUGUUGCUUAUAUACUAGAUUGCCCUCUCGGUAAGGCUCCGUAUGUGUAGGAGAUUCAGAAGUGCGUUAAUAAUUUUCAAUGUCCAUCUCAAUUUUAUUACUAGUAGUAACUACAUUGAGUUGCAACUAUAUGAAUAUCAGAUAGGCAAAAUCAAUGAAUUUUCCAUUGGUAACAAAGGUAAACACUUGACACAUUAAGUGGAGAUCUUGUCGUUGAUUUCCAAAUGAGAUGGAAGGUUCUUCAGUUUCUAGCAUGUUAGAUGGCAUGAACUAUAUCUAGUCGGAGGCAAGGAUGAGAACUUUUUUAAAGUCCAUAGAUGAAAAAGCAUAACAUUCAAUCUUGACUGGAAGGGAGCAUCCAACUGUUGUGAUAAAUAGUGCAACAACUUCUAAACUUGAAUUAAUCUAGAUCAAUGAAGAAUAAAAUAUUGUAAAUGCAAAGUCGAAGGCUCUCAAUGCAACAUUUUGUGGAGUUAACCCUCAAGAAUUCAAGGGGAUUUCUAAUUGCGUCAAUACCAAAGAAACCUUAUAUUAUCCCAUAUUGAGAUAAACUUCCAAUGCUUUUUAAAUAUAAGGUUGUACUGUGGGAUUAAGUGUAACAGCCUAAUUUUUAGAGGUAUCGAAAACUGUGGUUCGAGACCACUAAAUUGGACGAGUGAGUUUGAAAAUUUUAAUAUUUAAUUAUUAUUUAUGAGUCAAUUAUGACUUUAGGAAACUUUUGAAUUAGUAAAUUUGUGAUUUAAAAGAAUUUAUUAGGUAAAUUAAGUUAAAAACGAGGAAUUGAGACCUCGAUUUCAUAAACCGGGUCGUAAAUAUUUUUAUAAAUAUAUAAAGAGUGUCAUUGAGUUAGUAUUAAAAUUUCGUUAGAAAAUUUUAACGUUUUGAUAGUUAAUUAAUUAAAAAUGACUAAAUUGGAAAAGGUGCAAAACUUACAAAUUAAUGGAAUGGUGAUUAAAAAGUCCAAAAAGUAAACAAGGAGGACUUAAAGAACAAUUUAGCCUAAAUUAUAUAGGCCGGGUGGCAUGGGUAUAGAAAUAAACAAGAAAACAAUGUGAACAAGACAAAAUUGGAAAUUUUGUAAAUUAAACAAAUAAAACAACAAUUAAAAGAUUUUCUAGAUAUUUCUUCAUAAUUCUCAGCCAAAAACACCAUUGAAGAAUCCUUGAGAAUUUUUUUUUCAUAUUUUACUUCAUGUAAGUCCAAUUUUUGUUUAUUUCUUGAAAUUUUUAUAUUUUUGAGACUUUUACAACAAGGUCCAACUAUUGAUUUCAUUAGUUUUUCAUUUCAUGGGUGAUUUUGAAAGUUACCAUUGAUGAGUUCUGGAUGUUUAUGAUGAAUUAAUAUGGAUUUGAAGCUUUAAUUUAUUAUAUGAUGAUUUUAUCAAGUAAUUUCAAUAGAAAUUGAUUAUUAGGACUAAAUUGUGAAGAAUAAAAGAAUUAGAGUUUUUUGUUAGAUUUGUGUGAAUCAAAGGCUGUAAAAUAGCUUAGAAUAAUGAAAUAAAUUGUUAAUUGAGAAAAAUUAGUUCAAUUGGUGGGAAAAUUGAUAAGGGACUAAAUUGUAAAAAUUGUAAAAGUUGGGGUAAAUGUGAAAUUUCAAAAAUUGAAGGGCAUAAAUUGUGAAGUGAAUUAAAAUUGAAUUAGAUGCUAAUGAAUGAAUAAUUCUAUAUUUUAGAUCAUGAACCCGAAGAAAAUCGUGAAAAAAGGAAAUUAGUCGAAUAGUCCCUGAAUUACAACAAGUUCUACAAUCUACCCCAGGUAAGUUCAUAUGGUUAAACGUUGAUGUUUAUUUAUUAAAUGAUAAAUUUUAUAAUUACAUUUACUCAUACAAUUACUGUUGAAAAUAAAGUUAUUGUUAAAUUAUGAGAAUUGAAUUGAAUGUUUAAAAUGAGUAGAACGCCGGAUUGAGUAUGACCGUUUCGUGACAAAAAAAUGAAUUGACAGAUAAGACCAUGGUUGGACCAUGGCAAUGUUUGAAUGUAAGACCAUAGUUAGGCUAUGACAUUUUAAUGAAAAGACCAUAACUGAGUUAUGACACCUUGAACUUAAGACCAUGGUUGGACCAUGGCAGUAUAUGUAUACGUGUAAGACCAUAGCUGGGCUAUGACAUCCUGAUGAUAAGACCAUAACUGGGUUAUGGCAUUAAGAGUGUAAGACCAUGGCAGGGCCAUGGCAAUUUUGUAAGACCAUAGUUGGACUAUGGCAUAAAGAAAACGAUGUACUCAAAUCUGUAAGUCGUUCUCUAAUUUGAUAAGUAUUGGUAAGUGUAAUAUGGAAUUAAUGUGAAAGAAUUUAAGUAGUUAUUGAUAUUGAGCUCAAUCAAGUGAAUUUUAUUAAUUGAAAUUGUGGUUGGCAGGAAAUGUUAGUGGAAUGCUUAUUUAAUGAAUUAUUGUUAUAGCAUGUUCGGUAAGAUUUAUUUUUAAAGCCAAUGAACUUACUAAGCUUUGUUAAGCUUACUUGUGUCAUUGAGUGUUCUUUGUAGAUUUUCAAGAAGUUCAAAGGAUCAGAUCAACCAUCGAGCCAUACUAUCCAGAUUGCUUCGGUAGACUUUGUUAUACAUAUUAUGGUUUAUAUGACAUGUAUAGGGUUUAAUUAGAAAAGAGUUAAACUUGAAAUAUGAUUGUGAAUGAUACAUAUAUAUAUUUGUAUGCAUGUAGUUAGUAGUAGAUUUUAGUAAAUCAAUGAAUGAAGUUGUUUUGGUAAGUUUAUGCAAAUGAGUUUUGUGAUGACAUAUUAUUUUUAAAAUAUGAUUUUCGGCUUGUAUUGGGUUGCUUGGUUGAGACAUAUUAGUGUAUUUAAAUGUUGUGUACAGGCUGAUAUUAAAAAGAGUGAGAAAAAUGGCCUUAAAAUGGCUUAUUUUCGUCCACACAGGCAAAGACACAGGCUUGCGCCUCAGCCGUGUGUGGCACACGGCCUGGCACAUAGGUGUGUGAUCUGGCCGUACAUCCCCUGCACCUUGAAAUUUCAAAAUAGAAUGCCUAGGUUUUUAAAUAUGGCCUAGCACAUAGGCGUGUGGCUUGACCGUGUGACCCCUGCAUUUUGCACACGGCCUAGCACACUGUCGUGUGGUUGGCCGCGUGGCACAAGUCAGAGAGUUACACGGGUAAGGACACGAGCUGGAACACGACCAUGUGUCUCACAUUUAAUGCCCACGCGGGUUAAGACACGGGCGUGUCUCCUACAUGGUAUAAUAAAUUGGGCUUAAAUCAUUGCUUGUACUGUGAGAUUUGAUAAUAUAUCUUUAUUUUUUGAAGUUUUAAAUAAUAUAUUUUUAAAUUUUUAUUUAAUUGAUGAUGUGGCAUACAUGUGACCUAUUAUGUGGAGGCCAAAUCAAUAUCUAUCAUCCAUGUCAAAGUUAACCGUUAACUUCUCCAUCUAAUUCUGAGCAAUUUGACAAAAGUCAAAAGUUUGAGAGCUAAAAUAAUUUUUUUAAAUAUAAUUCGAAGACAAAAAAAAUCAUUUUACUUAAAAUUAAUAGAGAUUAUUAUUUUAAUUAUUUUAUGAAAGAAUCAUUUAAAUUAUUUUGUUCAUAAUUAUAACUAUUUUUACAAAUAAAAGAAGUAUCACAUUUACAAAUAUCAAGUUCUCACAUCAAAAUAUUAUAAUCAUAAUUUUAAAAUUUGAAAUUAUUUCAACUUAUAUAUUAAUUCAUGAUUUACUAAAUAAUUUAAAAAUAAAAAAUUGGUAAAUAAUAAAUACAUCAAUAAAUAAUUAAAAAAUAAAUUGGCUCAAUGGAAAUGAUAAGACUUUAGGAGUUUUGAGAUAUUAAGUUGUCAUUCAGUAUGUUUGAGUUAAAGUAGUUGUUGAGUUAUCCAAUUCAAUGCUUAUAAUAAUUAAAUCUAAUAACAACGAUUAAUGUAAUUAUAAUAGAUAAAAUAUGCUAUAUAUGUAUAUAUGUAUGUAUGUUUUUAUUUCAAAUUCUCAAUCUACCAUCAAGUUGAAGAAUGAAGACAUUUUAGGUAGAAUAUAUGUAUAUCAGCACAAGACAGUUUGUUUAUAGUUUUUUUAAGAAAGGAGUUAAGUUGUUCAAUAGUAAAUGAUUCUAAUCAUUAAUAAUUCUUCAUCUUCUUUCCUAUUUUAUUGUUUAAGCUUUUUGGAAAUAUACAAAUCUUCACCAAAACUGGGUUUUGCAUAAAAAGGAAUCAUUUCUUGGCCAGUUAUGGCAAUGUAAGUAAUUCAGACAAAGAUACGAACAAGAUAAUAAAAGGGACCUUCAACAGCUUACUUAUGUCAUCUCUUAGCCUUAUUAGGCCAUUUGGACCACUAAUUCAUCAUUAGUUUUGUUUUUAGAAUAUAUUAUCAAAGGAAAAAAGUAAAUAUUUGGAAGAAUAUAGAUUUUAGGAAAUAAAGUAAUCUCAGUUUUUCUUAAAUAAUCUUAAAUUUAAUUUUCUUAGUGUUAUUGAUUGAGUAUUGUAAUCAAUAUGUGGGUUCGAGUGUGUGAAAGUGUAUUAUCUUUUUAUUUUUGGGUUGGGGCUAUAGAUAAUUAUAAAAUGAUCACCUAACUAUUCAAUUUUAUCUUUUUUGGUUACCAACCACAAUUAAGUGGCUGCUAAUGUAGUCUACCUAUAAAUUUUUGCGGCACCAAUUUAGAAAGGUUUAUUCAUGACCUUAGCCUUCAAAAAUUGUAAAAUCGUUUCAUAUUGUCUCUUUAAAAUUUGUAAGAAUAUACAAUUUGUAAAAUUAUCUUUUAUAAUCUUUUUAAAAUUUAUAAAAUUAUAAUUUAAUAUAAUGAUAAAUUUAUGUGUUCGGAUAUUUAUAAUUUACUUCUAGCCUCUCCGAAUAAGCAUUUCCAAUCGUUAACUAACUAACUAAUAAGAUGGAUUAAUCUUAUGAAUGUUUCUAAAAGUAAACUGGAAUGUGCAUCCUCAAUGCCAUACUCUCUAGGGAAGAAUUAAUUAGGACUACAACUUCAAUUAGCACACCAAGAUCAAUUCUAAUCUACAAUUAGAUUCACCAUAUCAAUUAUCUUCCGUAAUUUAUUACAAUUUAAGUGUGAUUUGAAUUUAUAUUAUUCUUAAUGAAAAUGAACACUCGACUAACAGAUCGCAACUUAAAUUUAAUUGAUAGCAACUAGGUCCAACAACAAGGUGUACUAACAUUAUUUAUUUCACCACAGGAAUUGAUGCUCCAACUGCAAGGGUCUGUUAACUUCAACUUUGAAUUUACUCACAAAGAUAUAUCAAUUCGCUUCUAACUAUAAUUUAAAUGAGUCACUAUAAAAUAGAACGUUGAUAAUGGCAAUGUAUCUCAAAGAGAACAAAGAAAAAUAGAACACACAAAAUUUUACGUGGAAACUCUUUCAGAAAAAAACCACGGCAGAGGAGAAGAAAAUUCUCUAUGUUGAAUUCGAAUGAAUACAAGAAGAGAGACGAUUACGUCUAUUUAUAGGUUUAAAAAUUUUAUUUUAAUCAAAGUCAAAUAGAAGUAAUGCGGUAAGAUUAAAACAACUUAUUCUAAUCAACAUCAAAUAGAGGAAGUAAACUUCUAUAUGGAUUUUACUUGUGCAGCUUGUACCGUACCAUACCACGGGGGUCGGAGCCCCUGCACCUUCGGUUGCGACCCAAUCUAGUAUUUUGCUUAUUAGGGAUCUACGAUGGGCUGCGGUCUUUGCUCUCGAAAAUCCCCCUAUCUUAUCACUUAUAUUUUAUUUUAAUAAGAAUUUGAGUCACAUAAUUUCUACUAGCUGACUUAACAACAAAGGCCAAUGUUGACAUGGAAAUUAGUUUAGUAAUGAAUCCAUCAAAUACGUUAACAAGUAGGCUUACCAGUCCCUAUUGUUCUUAUUUAAUUCAAAUCCUUAGAUUUUUAAACAUUGUGAAUACAAAAAUGAUUGGUCUGACCCACUUUUGUUUUUGGAUGGUUGCUCAAGCAUUCAAUUGUUGUAAUAAAAAAGGGAAAAAAUUCCAAGAGAGUAGUUUGAUUAAACAAAAUGUGAUUAGUGAUAUUUAAUUAUUUUCUUAGAAGUAUUAGAAAAAGCAUCUUUUUGUUUGCUACUAUGUUGUUUGAAGAACAUUAUCAAACUUUUGUAGCUCUACAUUUCUCACAACCAUUUUGACUAAAAUUUUUGGACUACUGAUUGUAUAAUUAUUCUAUGUCGUUUCAGUUCAAACUUAGAUUCCAAUCCAAUGCCAUUAUUCAUUAUUAAUAAUUAUUUGAAAGUUAUAUUAGUAGUUGAGGGUUUGAUCUUUGUUUUAGGUAUGGAGCAGCUUUAAAAUUUAUUGUCAGUAUCUACCCUUAAUGGAUUUACAAAAUGUGAAUGAUUAGUUACUGAACUUAUUCCGAUAGAUACCUUGAGAAAUUAAAAAAAAAAUUGUUUAAAAGUUUCAAAUUAUAACUUUUAGAUUUCAACGAAUAUAAAAGAAAUAAAAGUUUUACAGUAAUGGCUUAUUAAUUUAAUGAUAAGGUUUAGUAUUUAAAAAGUUUAGAGUAUUUAUAUGUGUAAAUAUAAGAUCAUAUGUGAAAUCUCAAGAAAUAGAUGUUUAAUGGUAAAAGUAUAAUAGAGAUUUCUAUAUUAAGAGUGAGAUUGUAUUUUAUUUUUUUACUAAAAAAAUGAACAAAUUAAUUAUUUUUAUUGAAAAUUUCAUCUAUUUCUACAUUUAAAAAUUAGUAUGAUUGACGGAAUAAAUAUAUAGUUUCACAUGACGUACCACUUGUACCUCAUGCUGAUGUACAAAAAAUAAUUUUUAACAAUAGAAAUAGAUGGAAGUUUUAAUAGAAAUAUCAAUUUACUUUUUAGUCUAACAUAUCGAGACUAAUUUACCAUUUUUUGAAUAAAAAGUAGAAAGCUGUUAACAUAGCAUGCAUGAAAGGGAAACAGAUGAAAAUUCCCAACAUGUUUAAGGAAUCAAAUUGAAAAGUUAGACUUUAACUUAUUAUUACUCUUAUAAUUAUAUAUAUUUGUUUUAGUUGCGUAAAAACAAAAGUGAUUAGAAACCCUGGAAUAUUUUUUUUUUAAAAACUAAGCUGAACCUGUUUUUAUACGAGUCUUUACAUGUCUUGUUUGUCUUGUUUGAAGUUUUUGAGUUUAUGUUUAAACGGAGUAAAAUUGCCAAAAUAAUACUAUAAAUUGGUCAUCAAAGUAAAAAUACCCUCAAUUUGCAGAUGUAGAACAAUGUUUUUCACAGUUGUUCAAAACUGAGAGCUUUUAAGGAAAUUGCCAAAAUAAGAGCAAGAAACGACGACCGUGCAUCAAAUCAGCUAAUUUGAUGCGCCAAAUCAAAUCAAAUAAAUAAAUAAAUAAGCCCCCUCCAAAAAGCUACCAAGAAUUUUUCAGCUCAGCCUUUUUCCCUUUCUUCUUAGAUACUCGGAGUAGUUUUCAAUGUCUUAUUUCAAUCAUUUCAAAAGCUGUUGUAAUGCAUAGCUCCCUCACUUCUUAUAUUAACCUAUACCCCAACUAAUCUUUUCUUCCACUUCAGACUCUUAUCUGUUUCUUAGUCUUUAAAUCAAUCAAGAAAAAAAAAACAUGGAACAAGCUCAGUAUUUGAUGUUGAUGAAGAGGAGACCGUUUUUAAAAUCCCAUUUUCAAGUGUCAAUCAACUCUUUAAGUGAGACUUGGGAAGAAAAAGCUUUUGCAGAAGAUGCAGCUGGGUCUUUAGAGGGAUGUGUAUGGCCUCCUAGAUCAUAUACUUGUAGUUUUUGCAGGAGAGAAUUCAAGUCAGCUCAAGCUUUGGGUGGUCACAUGAAUGUUCAUAGAAGAGAUAGAGCUAAGCUCAAACAAUCUCUUAGUCCCAAAAAUGAAGUUGUUUCUAAUCAAAAUCAGAACCCCAAUCCUCUAAAACCAUCUGACCCUAAAUCCCAACAUCCAGCAGCUGAUUUGGCUCAUUCUUUUUCAUCUUCUAGGGUUUCAGCUUCAUCUAAAAACUUUGGUACUUGUUCCUUUGUUCAAGGACAGCAUCAAGGGCUAUUAAGUUCUUAUGACGAUGAGGUAAUCAAUUGCAAAAGAAGAAAGAUUGCUGUUUCAACAACACUGCCAUUUUUGGUUCCGAAGGAGAAGUGUUAUUCUUCUCUUCAAUGGCAGGUUCUUGGAGUUAAGCCAGCAGUUGCAGGGUCCAUGGAGGAGUUGGAUCUUGAGCUCAGGCUUGGUGUUCAACCAAAGGUGAAGUCAUGGAAAAUGGAUCAAAGGGAUUGCAAGAGAAUGGAGUUGCUCUGAUCAGACUCAAAGAACUCAAUCUAACUUCUGAUUUUCUUUUAUGUUCAAUGGAAAAUUACAAAGAGGCCAAGGGGCUACUGUAAUUGUGCAGAUAAUGAAAAACUUAUUUUCCAACCAUGUCUACUAUAUUAUAUAUAAAAUUUAGUACUUUUAUUUGUUUUUAGUAUCCCAAUUCUAUGCUUCAUCUCAUGAUGAUGGUAAUACUUUUGAAAGUGAUAAAUCUUUUAAAAUGUUGGGUGUUAAAAUUUGACAUGUCAAAAAACAUGGCUCCAAUCAUACAUCCUCACAUGUCACUUUUGACAGAAAAUUUCAUUUCAAAUUAUCUCAAGUCGUCAGUCAUAAGGCAUGAAACUCAUCGUAAACUCUCUCUUUUUUAAUUAGUAUUUAGAGACAAUUUCAAAUAGAAAAAAACAUACUUAUAAGAGACUAUUUUGGCUAUAAGAAAGUAGAAAAACAUUUUUAUAUUCUGCUAGUUGGCAUUUGUGUGGUUCCCUGGAGUCCCAAAAUGUAGAGCUCACUCUUUUGGUUCUCUCAUAUGCUUGUGAAUGAGUACAUUGCUUAAUGGCCUCCGGUGGAUUUCAUUUGUAGUUUUUUAAAACGGGUCCAGAUUCUCCACUAGGAUACACAAAAUAAUUCUAUCAUGAUGUAAUGCAUCUCAUGAUCAGCUUGUAUUUUGAACUUUGAAUGAUCCCAAUUAAUAAAUUUCAUUUUUGAUUGGUGGAAUAGCUCCUAUCCAUAGAGUUUCUUUAAAGUUUUCAAAAUUAAUCUCUUUCUAAUAAGGACUUGAUGUAAAUUUAUUUGGUUCCUUUUUAUAAUUAAAUCUUACAUUUGUUUACUUAUUUCGAGAUAUAAAAUAAUUAAUAUAAAUAUACAAAUCAAAAUUGUCAACGAUUUGUGUUAUAAAUCAAUUAUCACCGGCCCGAAUCUCAAGUAAGAUUCAGGUGGCCUACCCGUGACCUGGAUAGGUUCCACCAGAUGAUUGAGUGUGAUGCGAACUGUGAGAGGACAGCAAGGGAAGCUCGCAAACCUAGCUUGCAAGAGGAGCUCACAGACCUAGCUCACAAGGAGAGCUCGCGUGAACCAAGGGAAGGUCGCUGUCUCAGUUCGCAUUUACCCAAGGAGCUCGCAGAAGGGAGACCGCAUGGUCUGACAGACAACACAGAAUAAAACACGUAUCCAGCAUGCUGAAAUCCGCUCAGAAUGUCAGUCCUAAGAAUAGUAGGGUCAUGUUGUGAACAGUAAUAAUAUGUAUAAAUAUCCAAAUGACGUGGCCUAGGAAUAAUAUGUUGUGGCCUCAUUCCAUUUUCAUAAUCCAUACAAUGUCAGUAAGAGGAUAUCAUUUAUUCUUUUAAUCAAGCUAUAAUUUCACUAUUGUAAGCUAAUCCAUACUAUGCAUAAGUCACGUACCCAACAUACCAACUUUUCACCUAUUACCAUGAGAGCAUAAGUUUUUAAUAUAUCAAUGUACAUGAGUUGUAUAUGUGGUAAUUUACUCAAUAUUUAUGUAAGUUACACCAGAAACAUCAUAAAUAAAUAAAUCUAUAAACGAAUCUAAGAUAAACUCAACUUAGUAUCAUUCAAUGUAUUAUCCGCCCAGAUAAUCAUAUUUAUGCUUCUAUUUUUAAGAGUAAGUCACACGAGAAACUUCCCCACCACUUCUCAAUAUUUAAGUAAGUAACACCAAUAACUUCCCACCACUUCUCUACAAUCUCGGAACUUACAGAAAUAAUGACAAUUAAUGCUCGCUAUCUUCUUCACCAUUACAAAGAAUAUUAUGAUUACAACAUCAAGAGUCCAUCUUUUCAAAUUCAUCUUGGAUAACCAAUGUUGUUGGUCUUUCAUAGGCAAUUUGAAACCUACUGCAGACCUGUAGGCAGGUAGGACUAUUGUUUGUAGCCGCUCGAACCCAGACUCAAUAACAUGGGCCUAGUCCUUAAUAUACAAAUAUGCUCCAGAUUUACAAUUAGAUGGUAAUAGGCCCACGAGCCUCACAUGGGAUCUUCAUCCCCGUAAGCUAAAAAUGCUUGUGCAUCUCACCCUCUUCCCCUUCCAUGAAAAACAAAAGGAACUUGUAUCAACUCAAAUGGCUUAAUGCCCUUAAAGAUGCACAGAAAACAAACUUGCCAAUAAAGAACGACAGUUAAACCCAAGCACAAGCCUAUGCAGCCUUAGGCAAGCACUAAAAAGAUGUAUAAAUACCAAUAUCAUGACUUGACUUUACAGCAUUCAUCUCUUCUUCAAUGGAGGUUGCCUAGGAGAGAAAACUCUGGUGUCCUCUAAUUUUAUAUAUUACAUACAUACAAUACUUACAUCAAAUAAACUGUUUUAAAAACUUUACAACUUGCAAUAUGAAAUGACUAAGAAUUUUGGACCGUUAUAAUAUUAUAUUAUUUUUUUAACAUAAUAUUACAGUAUUCAAUACUACGAAAUUUUGUGAGUGAUAACAUUUAGAAAUAUCUUAAUAUUAUAUUGGGAAAAGUGAUUAAAAGCUUCUAAAAGAUAAAAAGGCCACGACCCUCUAAACUGUAAUAUUCAAUGUAUCAGCAUCACAAUUUCACCAAAAUUAAUGUUGCAUUUGCAGAAAAAGAAAAUGUUUUGAUCCAAUCAAAGUAUCAAACCAAACUGUAUCGAAAAGAGAAAAUCAUACCCCAGAUUUUCUCGAGAAAAACCACAGCUUUUGAGCUCAUGCUAAUGUUUGGUUAUAAGAGAUUGAUAUUCAUUGAAUAUGUGAACACAAAUUCUUUGAUCAUGCUGCUUGUAAUUCAAUCGAGAAGCUAACGUCAUGCUAUCUACUUGCAUUUAAUCAAACCCUAAAUGCAAUUUACUUCAUUACAACAACAAAAUUAUUUAGAAAACUAUGUUAUAUAUGUAGGAUCAAACCUUAUCGUUGUAACCACUCCCCGAUACUAUUAUCGAAACCGAAAUUAAUUACUUAAUUUGAUCUUAAAUCGAUAUAUUAAAUUAAUAUAUUAUUAAUACAUAUAUAAUUAUUAAAAUAAUAUAGAUUAUAAAAAUACAUAUAGUAUUAUAUGAUAUUAUAAUGUUUAAUCAUUGAUAUAUACACUCUAUGAUAUGAUAAAAUAUUAUAUUAUUUGGGUUUUAGCUUAGUAUAAUGAAUUUAGAUUUUGGAAUAAAUAAUUUAAAAUAUGAGGAUUGAAUUUAUAAAUUUAAUAAUAAUAAAAAAUUAUUCAAUUGACAACAUAAUAUAAUAAUAAAUAAAAGAUAUUUUCAUUAAUCUACAUAAUAUUAUAAAAUAAUAAAUUUUACAUAGAGUAAGCACUUUAAUUGUUUUAUAUAAAUUGAAUUUAUUAAAUAUAUAUAAUUUAUAUUUUGUAUAAAAUAAAUUUAAAUUAUAUUAUUAUCGUAUAAAAAUAAAAUAAAUUAUUAUAUUUAAAAUUAAAAUAUUUAUAAUUUAUAAAUUUUAAAAUUAUCUUAAUCUAUUAGAGCUCACUCGAGAAAAAAAUUGAACUCACCUAAAAAAAUUCAUAACAAAAUCGAAGUCUAAAAAACUCGAACUAACCCAAAUUCGAAAAUUUUAAAACCUAAAAAAUCUAAAUCUAAAAUAAACUGGAUCCGAACUCAACCAUUCACCGGCUUUAAUCAGCCCUUUAAAAAAGAGAGGCCAAGGUGGGGCGCGGCCUAAUGAAAAUACAAAGCUUUCGCCAGUCACGUGGCACUGAUACUUUUUGGGCGUCACCUCAUGCUUGCCAGCUGACACUCCUUUAAGUGGCUAAUUGUAAAUGGUUGGGCAUCUGCUUACCUUUUUUUCUUUAAUGUGGUCUACGACUCUAAGGGGUCUACUCAUAUGAAAAUUACUAACUAUCAAUUCAACUCCCACCCACCCUACACCUGUACUUCGGGUUUUCACGUCAUCAUCGAACAAAAUAGGUAUUUUCCCCGACUUUGUAAAUUACAUUUAAAAUUAUUAUUAGAAAAUUUAAACUUUUAUUAUUUUAACUUUAAAAAGUUAUAAAAUAAUUAUUAAAAUAUUUAAAAAAAUUUAUUUCUUUUAUUGAAUUAUUAAAAUUAUUUUGGUAUAAUUUUCUUUGUUCGCACUGUUUACAGUAAUUAAAAGUUUUUCUUUCUCUUAUCUUUUAUUGUUCAAUUUUUUUCAUAAAAUAAUUUUAAACAUCAUGAAUAUGUAAACUAAAAUCUAAACAGUUAUAUUUUUUUAUUUGUGAUAUUAAUCAUUAAAUUAACUUGGAUUUAAAAUAAAUUUUUCUACUUGUUGAUGGGUAUUGAUCCAUCAUACUAUUGGUUAAAUUCUUACUUGAAGCUCACUUGUUGGACUUUCUAAAAAGAACUUAACAAUCUAUUGACUUAAUAAAAACUUUGAAUAAGUCAAUGACUUAAUGAAAAUUUUUAAAUAAUUUAAUGAUAAUUUUGUAACAUUUUAAAAUUAAAUAAUAUUCAAAAUAAUAAUUUAUUAAUAAUUGAGUGAUUUUGGUUAUAAUUUAUUCUUCUUUUAAUUGCAUUAAAAGUUAUUUUAUGAAUUAAAUAUAAAUUGAUAACGAAUUAAAUAUUAUCUAAUCAAUAAGAAGAUAUGAAUAAAAAUUGACGAGUGAACCAUUCAACGUCAAAACUAAGGAUUCUUUAUUAAUGAUUAAAAUAGUAAGAUAGUUUUGAAAGUAAUUGAAGUGUAGGAACAAAUAUCUAAACAUUAGCUGUGGCAGAUUUUCUAAAGCCGACUUUGAGACGGAGGGAGUAGCCGCAAUGUGUUAGUAGCACCAACAAGAAAGGCAACGUUUGGAUCCACCUCAACAAGACACGUUUCGAGAUAAUCUCAGACUUUCUGCGGGAAGUGUCAAUCCAACAUGACAUUUGGUCCAAAACGUGUCCUUCUUUUCUCCCUUUCUCUGUUAUGUGGACACUUUCAUUGCGUUGUUCCUUAAAAGAAAUGAUGUUAUAUCUAUCUUUAGAUCAAUUAUUAAAUAUUAAAUGAAAGCGGCAUUACUUCCAAGUUUCUUUUAAAAGAUAUGAACGAUAGUUAGGGGAAGAAAAGAACCAACAACAAUGCAAGAGAAUUCUCUUGUGGCUUCAAGUUAAUGGAAAACCUGAAUCUGAUAUCCCUGUGGAAUUGGAGAAAACAGAGAGAUCGUUGUCCUUGAACAUAAUAACUUAAGCAAUGAAAGACAUAGGGCAGACAAAAGUAUCAUUUUGGCAUAAACUAAUGGGGAAUACUAAGACUGUAGAAGUCAUCAGCACUAAUGUGAGACUAGAAAUGCAUGAUUUAUCCCUCCUACAUAUGAUAGGAGUGAUAUUUUAAAUCCUUUAAUUAGAUGAGAUUAAAAAUAUAUAGUCGUACUCAAAUGAAUUGAUAUGAGAUAUUAUAAUAAUUUAUUUAUCUUAGUCUACUCGAGAAUCAAGAAAUAAGAUAUUAAAUUAUAUAAGUGGUAUUGUUUCAUGACUUGCAUUCAAUUAAGAUAACACAGACAAAGAAAUAUACUAUAUGAUAAUAUUAUCACUGAAAGAAUAUGUCAAACAAUAAUUUUUUAUAACUUAGGUAACAAUGAUGCAUUAGUACUAGAUAACAAUUAUUGUCUGUAAUAUUAGAGAUGUUUUGAUAUUACAGCCAACAUUACAAUAUUUUACAAGAUCACACCCUAAUGGAUGAAAUGAUCAAAAUCCAAGUUAAUUGAGAUUAUAUUAACUUGUCAUAAAUUAAAUUAACUAAAAAAUAUUCAUAUAAAUAAUUUAAUUUGGCAAUGUUAAUUAUACACAUAAUACUUGUGUGUGCAUGACUCACAUAUAAGAAGGGAUUCAAUUAAAAUGAUGUAAAAUCUGUUUCACACAUUUUAAUUAGAUAAAUACCACUGUUAUUUGAAUUAAACAGGAUGGAUUGGUCAAACCAUUUAGAUUGAGAAUCGGUCGAGGGAUCAGUUUGAAAAGUGAAUUUGAACUAAUUAAACUGAGAAUCGAAACGAAUUCAAAGUAAAUUUCGUAGAAGCUGGAGUGAUUUUAUUGUGGCUAUGGUUCAUUAUUCCAUCGAAGGUUCCUAUUAGAAUCAGACUUGUUUUACUGAGAUCAUUUAGGUAUACCUUCAUACCUUCUUUGCAACUCGAAUUCAUUUGGAUCCAAGAGUUGUGACUGCCGGAAUUAUUUUUUCGCCUUGCCACAUAGAGGACUAGCAUUCUAAGAAAAAGGGAUUCAAAAACAAAAGUUGUUGAGAUUUUGACACAGGAAGAAAGUUGAUGGCAUCAAAAGGUAAAAAGCUAGUAGAUUUCCAAUGGAGAUUGAAAUGCUUGAUUCUUCCACUUGAGUGUCACAAAUAAAAGAAGUGCGAUUAUUGUUGAAUCUUUUAAACUAAUGAUGGUGAAUGGUCUAAUGAUGCUCAGGUGUUGAAAAUAUGGUAGUGAAUUUCUAUAAAAGCUUGUUCACUAAAGAUGUGAGCUUGUAUAAAUUUGGAAGUGUUUGUAGGACUGUGUUUUAGAUGAGGAAUUUGUGUUUUAAAUCCAACCGCUAAAAGCUCCAAGGAUUGAUGGAAUACAUGCUUUCUUUUAUCAGAAGAAUUGGAGUAUGACGGGGAGUAGUGUGUGCCACUUUGCUAGAAACAUCAUGAGCGGUGUCUCUCUUAAUGGAUGGUUGAAUCGUACUAUUCUGGUGCUUAUUUUGAGAAUUAAUUGAUUCAACAUUUUUGCCCAAUCAAUCUUUGUACAAUUUUCUACAAGAUCAUUACAAAAGUGAUAGUGAACCGACUUAAGCCCUUUCUACCUAUUUGGGGUGAGGAGCUUAUCAAGCUUACGCCACAUGUAACUGAACCACGCAUGGGGGAUUGUUAUACCUGGAAUGUGGUGCUUAGAGCUUUGUUGAAUAUGGUGAAACGAGACUGGGAGGUGGACAUGUUUUGCGACAUGUAGUUGAUGCUAUGGCCAAUUUUGCGACAAGUUUUCCUUUAAGAAUUCAUGUUUUCAGUGAACCUGAUGCUAUCUUAAAAGCCUUGCAUGAUGAUGAUGAUAACAUAGCAUAUCCUAGAAUAGUUAUUAUGCAACACACUUUUUCCCCUUUUACUGUAAAAAAAUAUAAACGAGUUUUUGCAUUACAUAUUUACAUAAAUUUCGUAUUGGACAAGGUUUGAGAAAAAAUGUAUUAGAUUUUAUUAAUUUUAGGUUAUAAAAGAUAAAAACAUAUUUAGUAAGCUAUCGUAGAGUGAAGAUUAAGAAUGAUAAUUCGGUGUUAAUAAUCAUUAUUCAGAGUGGAUUAGCAACAAAUAAUGUCAACAGUGAAAUUAGACUUAUUCAAGACUAGUAUAUUAAAUAUUGGGAAGUGAAGUUUCGACAGAUAUUGAGAGUAAUAGGGUGAGAGAUCAUAUCACAAAAGAAGUUUAAGGCAAAAUGGAGUACUUUAUUCAUAAAGAACCACUAAAGAAUGUGAGGGGUUUAUUAGAUUAUGACAACCAUUGCGUUACAUUCCCAUUGUCUGAUGGCAAUUUGUUCUGCUUUAAUCUUAAGACUUUAUUCUUUUAUCUACUAAUAAAAAAGAUAAAAUAGAUUUUAUUGAUUUUAUGUUAUAAAAUAUCUUCAAAAUUAUUUCUUUUUUGUAAUUUAUUUUAUCAUUUUUCAACUCAAUUCGGAGUUUUAAGUAUCUAUAGAUGGUAUUAGUAUUUAUCUUGAUUAAAUUUUCUUUCUAUUGAUUAAUAUAUUUUUUAAAAUUCUAUUUGAAUUUAUUUUUGGGAGAAUAUUUAAUGUAUGGUUGUUGCAUGUGUUUCAUAUACCAUUAAUGAAUAAUAAAUUGCGACAUAAUCAUUGAAUAAAAAGAUAAAUAGUUGAUGGCUUAUAAAUAAAUAUCUAUAAUUUUUUUAAACAUGAUUAUCUAAAAACUCUAAACCUUAAAUUAAAAACCUUAAAACUUUAAAUAAAACAUUUAUUAAUAUUUAUUUAUAAAUUAUUCGUAAAUAAUGUGAUAUGUUAUUAUUCAUUGCUCAUAAAAUAUUAUUCUUUUAUUUGUUUACCUUCUCAAAAAAUAUUUUUUAUUUAGUAAAUAAAAAAUUUAUUGUUAAGGUUGAUUUUUGAUACAUUGGAAUUGCACUUCUUUUUAUUCCACUAGUAGCUUUAAAAAAAUUAACAUACGUAUCUUUCCUUAAAAUAUUUAUUUCUUAAUAUUCUAUUAUACUCGUAUAAGACACUAGCCACCUCUUAAUCUUUUUUGUAAAGUCUAAAAACUCCAUAAGCGAUCUAGGAUAAUGCCAAGUGCCUUUUUUUUAAUUAUUUGAUUAUUAUUUUAUUUGGCUAUUAGUGGUAGUAUACUUUUUUAUUCCACAAGCAAUUUUAAAAUUCCGUAAAGUAUCCUUUUUUAAUAUUUAUUUUUUAAAUAUUUUAAUAUAUCUUCAUUGGACACUUGUCAACCCCUAAUUCUACUUGUAGAGUUUAAAGACUCUACUAACAAGUAUACUAAAUAUUAUUUUUUAUUUUAUUAUAUCUUAAAAACAAAUGGGAUUGAAUUUUUUUAGUCGAUAUAGGAUAAUAACCCAAUUUAAUAAGGGUGAAUGUGGAUGGGCGAUGGGAUGUGGUGCAAUGCGUUUAAAUUGCUUUUUAUCUUACACUAUAGUAUCACUAUAAUAUCUAAUCUCAUCGUCACGAUAUUUUUACACUAACUGUAAAUAAAUGUACCUCCCAUCAAAAUCCACCCUAAAUAAAAUAUGUUUGGUAGACGUUUAAAAACCAAUUAUAACUUGGGAAUAAAAUUCAUGUUGGAAGGACCCCUAGGUUCCCAAUGUUGGUCCCUUUAUCAAUUAUAUUCCUGCCCACGCCAAUAUUAGACCCGACAGUCUGCUUAGAGAAUUGACCACAAAUGAGGGCAAAUGGAACUUUGAACUCUUGCAGGCUUGGUUACCAAAAGAGAUCAUUUGCCAGAUCAAGGGCAUCCCACCUCUUUAUCCACUUGAAGAACCCAACAGACUAUCCUGGUGUCAUACUUCAACUGGAGCUUUCACCAUCAAAAGUGCCUUCAAAAUGUUGAAGGAAGAGUCUUGGAGUCUCAAAGAUGAGCUAUGGAAGAAAGCGUGGAAAUUCCCAAGACCGCAAAGAGUUCAUUUUUUCUUCUGGAUUGUCCUUAAGCAAAGACUCCUUACCAAUGCAGAAUGAGCUAGGCGUGGACUAGUAGAGGACCCUUCUUGCCCAAUUUGCGGGCAUGCGUUUGAGGAUAUCUUACACGUCAUCCGAGACUGUACAUUAGCUAAAGAAGUUUGGAAACAGGUAAUCCCGAGAACUCAACAGUUUAAUUUUUUUCUAACACUUUGCACGAAUGGUUGCCUCUUAAUCUACAGAUCAACUCAAAUUCUCAUGGUAGGGAAACUAGCUGGGCAUGCCUCUUCGAACCAUUGGCUUGGUGCCUAUGGAAGAAUCAUAACCCCUUUAUUUUUCAAGGAAAAUCGUGGAGCCCAAAGGAGAUAAUUAAAACAUUGGUGUCUUGGGCCAAGCACUUCUCCUUGGCAAGCAGACAAGUUGCAAAUGGUGAAAUCAAAUCGGCCCAUGGAGAACCAUUGGUAGGAGAGUAGACUUAUCUUAACACAGAUGGUGCCAUUCAAGUGGACUCAAGGGUUGCAGCUGCAGGAGGAAUGCUGCGAGACAGAAAUGGAGAUUGGAUCCUAGGUUACAACAAAUACCUAAGUAAUUACUCGAUCCUUGAUGCGAAACUUUGGGGUAUUUUUAAUGGCCUAAAACUCAUCCAGCGAAGCGACGAGGUCAAGGUUGUAAUUCAAUCUAACAGCUUAGAGGCAGUUAAAGCUAUUCACGGAAGUGUCCUGAAGACCUCACACUCUGCUUUAAUCAGAAGGAUACAACGCAUCCUAUCCCAAGAAAGUAAUUGGAUCCUACGCUACAUUCUUAGGAAGCAAAAUUAAAAUGUCGAUUUUGUAAGACCCAAAUUUUUCCCGGGACCCAAUAAAACCAAACCCGAAUUAAACCUAGCCUAUUAUCCAGUUACAAGCCCAAACCCAAUUUUGGCCACCUACUCCACCACCUUUGUUGGCCACCCACCUUGGCCACCAACUCCACCACCCUUGGCCACCUAAACCACCCCAACCACUCCACUUGUAAAAUUUGGCUAUAAAAGCCAUUCAAGACUUUGUUUUUAGGGGGUGGGUUUUUGGUUUUUUGGAGAAGGAUUGUUCUUUGUUUUGGAGGAGGUUUUUUUGUUUUUUGGAGGCGUUUUUUUGUUUUUUUAGAAAGAAGGUUAUUUUUGUUUCUUGGAAAGGCUAGGUUUUGGAGAUUAAUCAAAGAUCAAAGCAAAAGAGGUUUCUUUUGUCUAUUCUUAUCUUUAGUUCUUUGUUUGUUUAUUGUUUUCCUUUCAAUUUUAUUUUGUUUUUUUUAUACUAAAGUAAAAAUAAAAGUAAGAAGCUUACCCAUAUUUUCAUUAUCGAAAAAGGUUUUUUUGAGGUCCGGCCGCUGUGUACGGUGGCGCCGAUGGCGGCCCGUGGGGGUCCAUGACUGAAGCAAAGCCGGACCAACGGCCGGAUUUAGAAAAGAGGGAGAAAAAGAGUUGAGAGCUUUGUUUUAUUAUUUUAUUAUUUUUACUAUUAUUUAUAUUAUUAUUAUUAUUUCUCAUGUAUAUAUUAUUAUUUAUAUUAUUAUUAUAUUAUAUAUGCCCUCUCCAUAUUUAUUUAUAUUAUUACUAUCAUUAUUGUUACUUUUAUUAUUUUUUAUUUCUAACUACUAUUAUUAUAUAUAUAUGUAUUAUUGUUUGUAUUAUUAUUAUUAUCACCCCUAUUGUUAUUACUUUACUUUUGUAUUCUAAUAUAUUAUUAAUAUUACUCAUAUUUUUAUUAUUUUUGCUAUCACUAUUACUAUUAUAUAUUAGUGUGUAUUUUUAUGUAUAUAUAUAUUUAUAUAUAGUAUUGUUUUUUAUUACUUUAAUUUAAUAUUUUUAUUAUAUUUGCUUUUUGUAUUUCUAUAUUUAUUAUUAUUAUAUAGUAGUGUGUAUUUCUAUUAUAUACAUAUAUAUAUAUUUAUAUAUAGUAUUAUUGUUUACUUUACUUUAAUAUUAUUCUUAUUAUCAUUAUAUCCAACCCAAUAAUAAUUCUUUCAUAAAAGUAAUAUUCCGUAUUUGGUAAUUCGAGACAAUCGUGCCCUAACUUAUUGGGUUUCGAUUUUUCUCCUUUAACCUAAAUAACGGAAUACUCUUUUAAAUCGCGACAUGAGUUUUGAAAAAUGCUUAUUCUCGGAGAUACGAGGUGUUGUGCCCUAACUUACUGGGUAUGGCAUCUUGUUACCUCGAAAUAAGAUUUUUGCAAGUAAAGGCAAUAUUCGGUGUUUGGGAAUUCGAGGAAACGUGCCCUAACUUACUGGGUUUCGAUUUUCCUCGUUCACCUUAACUAACUGAAUAACCUUUUGAAAUACACGAAUUUUUAUAUAAAAGGCAAGAUCGUUCUCGAAAAUUCAAGAUGUCGUGUCCUAACUUACUGGAUGUGACAUUUUAUAUUGUGAGACGAGAAGGUCCUUAACAUUUGAGCAUUUUCUUUACAAAGAGGGAUCGUAUUUUAAAUUCUUUCAAGUUUUCAAAUUUUCGACACUAAGACACUAAUUAAUCAACUAGGUACCAAUUUUGGGCGUAUCGAGGGUGCUAAUCCUUCCUCGUGCGUAACCGACUCCCGAACUCAUUUUCUGAUUUUCGUAGACCAAAAAUUAUCGUUUUAGUAAAUCUUAACUUUUAUUAAAAUGAUUAACUUAAGGUGAUCCGAUCACACCUAAAAAGAUUGGUGGCGACUCCUGUUUUCAUUUUUUUUCUCCAAGUCGAUACCCGUUUUUUUCAAAAAAAUGGUUACGACAGCUUGGCGACUCCACUGGGGACUUUUAUAAGAGAGUCAAGCCACAAGUUGAUUAACUUUGGUCUUUUUUCGAAAAUUGAGAAUUUGGUUUUGAUAUACGAUCACUUCAUUGCGUUUCACCCGCUUUUCGUACUGUUUUCAUCAUUUUAUUCCUAUUUUCUUUAAUUGUUUCAAGUUUUUAUGCAUAUAUCUUCUCGCAUCGUAUUGCAUGACCGUUGUGGUCACACCCUUAAGUGGGAGUGAGAAACUACGCCUUCGUGAGGUUUUCACCUCCGUGCAGGAUAGUGGAUCACUUUCGGAAUACAUCCGUACCUAUGGUUUCGUGAGAUUUUCAUCUCCGUGUAGCCAUAGGGAAAUGUAUUCUCCUGAAUUGAACUCGAUUCAAAUGAGCCUAUAAUGGGUGAGGAUCGAGGAAUCUGUUGGUUCAGGUACCCUUACUCUAGAACCAAACCACAUAUAGAGAGACCUAGGAGCCCACCCUAGGUAGAGCCACUCCGAACCCCUAGUGGUCACCCGAAUUGAUGUAUUUGUUAUUUAUUUAUCCUGCACUAACGUGUUUUAUUUUUGUUUUGUUUAUAAUUGCAUUACAUUAUAUCAUCCUAGGAAGGAGGUGUUGAUUCAUAUUUGAUUGUUAAAUAGAACAGUUUGUCAUAAGAAAAUAAUUUUUUUGAUAAAGUGGAUUAUAAUACGGUUGUCUAAAUAUGAUCCAAGUGAACACAUGAAAGAAGACUGAUAGCUCGUGAAGAAAUACAAGACUUCGCUUCAUUGCCUGAAGACAGAAACUGACAAAGAUUAUUUGAGAGCCGUCGCAUCUUGACCUUCUUAAAGGAGCUGACAAGUAUCACAGUAAUAAGUGAGCAACGAGUCGCAGCCUGGAUCGAGCAAAAAAUGAGUUAAUAUAGACAUCUCUUGGAUAAUUCGUCAGACUCGACCACAAGAUCCGAAUAUGAAGAGGAAGAUAGGUGUCUUCACUUAGAAUACAAGAGAAAAGCCGUAUAUGUAGUCCGUUUUAUGUAAAAGAAUUUACUUUCUAGAAAAGUUGUUCUAAUGAAAUUAAAUUUAGAAUCAAUGCCUUCCUUUUUUUUUGCGUUCAUGCAUUUGCAUUACAUUACAUCAAAGAAAAGAAUGUGUUGAUUCGAAAUUCAAUUCCUAAAUAGAAUAGUUUGUCAUAAGGAAAUGAAUUUCUUGAUAAAGUAGAUUAUAGUGCGAUCGCCUGAAUAUAGUUCAAGUAAACACGAUGAGAGAAAGCUGGUAGUUCACGGAGGAAUACAUGAUGUAAUUGCCAGAGAUUCAAGCCAACAAAGGCAUGAUGAGAGAAAGCUGGAAGUCCAUGAAGGAAUACAUGACUUGAUUUAAUUGCCAACGAAGAUUAUUCAAGGGCUGGCACUUUUGAUGAGUAUCAUGGAGAUAAGUGAGCAAGAGACCGAGGCUCAGAUUAAGCAGCAAGGAACUAGUAAAGGCAUCUUUUAGAGAAUUUACAGGAUUCGACCAUGAAGAAAAGAUCAGCGUUUACUUGGGAUAUGAAGGGCAAUACCGCAUAUGUAAUCUAUUUUCAUAUAAAGAAAUAUGUUUUCUAGAAAAGUUAUUCUAAUGGAAUUGAAUUCAAGAUCAACAUCUUCCUUUCUUUUGCAUUCAUUCCAUACAUUUGCAUUACAUUGCAACAUUUGCAUUAAACUUUCACUAAAGAACCCUGAUUAAACAAAAUUAUUUCAGUUAAUCUGGAAACCAACGAGAAUCAAGCAACCGAACACAGCCACUAUACCCACCGUAAAACCAAAGCAAUGGACCAGAGAUUAGAAAGGAUAGAACAAAUACAAAGGGAGAUGCAAGAACAAUUACAAGAGCAGAUGCAAGAGCAACUGGCUAAGAUACAGCAAGAUAUGAUGGACCAUAUGUUAGAGUCCAGAAAAGCAUGAUGGAUCAAUUAACUCGUCUAUUGGCUGGCAGAUUAGAAAAUGGGAAAAGCCAUUUGAUCAAUGCCGGAGAAGAUAAUGAAGAUCCUACCUACCCUCCGGGUUUUACCCCACCUCAUGUGCCCCUGCAAACCAAGGCACCUCCUAGAAGGCCAUCUGUCACAGUGAGGCCUCAACAUGGGCCAGUGGAUGCUGGAAUCCCCAUAAAUUUCCCAUCUGGGUUGGGAAAUAAUUUGGGUGAUAGCUCGGUCAACCUUAUUUCUCCUAAUCUGGAUUUAAUAGAGAAGGAAAGAAUGGCCACUGAAUCCUCGAAACAAUUGGAAGAUUGUUGCAGGUGGUUAGAGGAGAAGUUUAGGUUUUUAGAAGGCGCUGGCAAUCAUCAGGGGAUCGAUGCCAAAAACUUAAGUUUGGUUCCAGAUUUGGUGCUUCCUCAUAAAUUUAAGAUGCCAGAGUUUGAAAAGCACAACGGGACUACUUGCCCAGAGGCGCACAUAACAAUGUUUUGUAGAAGGAUGACUGGCUAUGUGAACAACGAUCAACUAUUGAUCUAUUGUUUUCAGGACAGCCUAAUGGGAGCAGUGGCUAGGUGGUACAAUCAGUUGAGCCGUGCAAAGAUCGGUUCAUGGAGAGAUAUUGCAUAGGCUUUCAUGCAACAGUAUAACCAUGUGACUGAUAUGACGCCAGAUAGGAUCACACUACAAAACAUGGAAAAGAAACCGAGUGAGAGUUUCAGGCAGUAUGCACAACGGUGGAGGGAAAUAGCGAUGCAAGUCCAGCCGCCUCUUUUGGAGAAGGAAACGACCAUGCUCUUCAUUAAUACUUUGAAGGCCCCAUUCAUCACCCAUAUGAUUGGGAAUACUACCAAAAGCUUUUCUGAUAUGGUAAUGGCAGGCGAGAUGAUUGAGAAUGCCAUAAUAGGUGGCAAGAUUAAAGUUGGAGAAACUACCAAGAGGUCAGUUCUAAAGAAAAAGGAGAAUGAAGUGAACAGUAUGAGCUCAUACAAUAGAGAUCACUCAAGGUCAAUAACUGUCAAUCAACCAAAGGUGACUACGAGGGGGCAACAAGGUUCGACAGAGCAGGAAUCAAGUGUAAGGUAAAAUUUUGAAAAGCUCCAAUUUACGCCAAUCCCAAUGUCAUAUAAGGAGUUAUAUCAAAGUUUAUUUGAUUCACACGUGGUAUCCCCAUAUUAUAUAAAGCCGUUGCAACCCCCAUACCCCAAAUGGUAUGAUUCAAACGCUCAAUGUGAUUAUCAUACGGGAGUAUCGGGGCAUUCAAUAGAAAACUGUACUGCCUUCAAGAAGACAGUUGAAAGACUCCUCGAGAUGGGGAUUGUGAAGUUUGAUGAUACCCCUGGUACAAAGAGUCCGUUACCAAAUCACGAUUAUAAGAGCAAAUGAUUAAAGGACUCUGUCAAAGAUGGAAAAAUAAGAAGAGGAUUAGUAGCAUCAGAUCCUGAGUAGAGAAACUUGUGAGGCAUUCGUCCUUACAAACCUGGAAAUAUUUUGAAUGAUUAGUCUGUAGAGGAACCUCUUGUAGUUUUUAGAGCUAAUCUAGAGUAAUAUUCAAAACACGCUUGUUGCUUUAAGCCUGGAAGCAAUUAAACCCCUUUUUGUGAAAUAGGCUUGUAUCCUAAGUCUUUAUUUCAAUAAAAUGCAUCUUUUUGAGCAAAUAUUCUUUGAUUUCAUCUCAUACGGUACAAAUAAUUGUUCUUAGAUUCUUUUGUUCUUUGGAAUUUAUUUCAAAUAUUCAUUUAUUCUUCAUUCAUGAUCAUACCAUACAAAUAAUCAUCCUUAGAAUCAUUUAUUUCUUUGGAAUCUGCCUUCAGCGGGUCCCCAGAUAUCAAUGAUGUGAGUAACGCUGUCAUUGACUCCGAGUCUCCUUUUGAGCGAAAUAUGGGCCUAAAGGGAUCUCAACACUCUGAAGAUGAUAGAGAUGUAGACUACUCUCUAAUUUGUUAAGGAUGGUAGAGUAAGAUGAAAACAGAUCCUCUCUUACAAAAAGACAGUAGACAGUAGGCCUAUGACAAGAGAAAGAUGCAAACAUCGGAGUCUGCAUUACCACAAAGGUAAAGCAAGACGUCAUUGAGUCACUUCCUAGAAUUUAAAGAUUUUUUGCAUGAUCAUAUCAAGAUACGCCUGGCUACUAAGACAGGAGGAUGUUGCAGGGUUUUGAAUGACACAUGCUAAUGGUUUUACGAUGGCCAGGCUAAUCAUGAGAUUUGGGUUCUGCUGGCCCACCAUAGAAAGGGAUUGCAUCAGUAUGCUGUAAAUGCCAAAUUUAUAGAGAGAAAAUUCAUGUGCCCCUUCAUGUGGGGCAAGGAGGUUAUGGGCCGAUCUCUUUGAAAGCUUCUAACCAAUACCGAUUCGCCUUUGGGGUCAUCGUUUACCCCGAGAAAAUGAUAAAAGUUGUUUUAUAUGCCAAUGUCACUAGGUCGACAGUCUUCAAAUUUCAAAAAAAGGGUGCCAAUAAAGAGUGCCAGAAAAUCAUGUCUAACACAGCUGUACAAUGUCAAAAGGUCACAGUCUGUUUAAAGAUUAGGAGUUAUAUGGCAAUGGCAAAGGCAAAGGCAGAGGCAAAGGCAAAAAAAAAAACACAAAAACACAAAAACACAAAAAAAAACAAAAAAAUUCUAAAAAAAAAGAAGCAGAAAAAAGAGAGGCCAGUGCGAAACCCCGCAAAUGGAGCCUUGAGACUAAAAGGGAUUCGAGUUGAAAACCCGAAAAUGGCAGCUCAAAUUUGGAUCAAAGUGGGGCAUACAUUAGUCUUGCUAUGCUUGAAUUAACAAUGAAGAAGUAUGCUACGUCUUGGGGCAUCGAAAAAGUACUCCGGAUCCCCUAAACACAUAUUAAACUCAGAAAGGUCCUCAAGAAGUUGGUACAGAAAAGCUCAGGCUGCGAUAUCUGGGGCAUCUAGCUUCCAUUUUGCCCAUUUUGAAUUUGUUAUCUUUGAUUCUUCUCAAGAUAUGUCCAAAUAAAAUUUCUUCUUAUUGCAUUGCUAUCUUUGAUUAAAUCAUUCGUUUUGAGUUGAUUUCAUUCUUAUUGCAUUUGCAAUCUUUGAUUAAUUUAUCCAUUUUGAGCUAUGCUCAUAAUCAAUUUCCUUCUUGUUCAUUGUUUUGAUCUUUUUCAAGCAUUUUGCAUUGAAAUAAUGAUUAAUGGACUAAUAACUCUUUCACAAAAGAAGUUUUGCAUAUUACUCUGGAAGUUUCUAAAUAAUACAAAAACUUGAAACAGGACUACUGUUUAGAACUCACCAAGCUUAAGGGUUGGAAAUAUUAUCUCUUUGGACUCUUUAUUGGUUGAACCAAAAGACAAGACAUUUCAUCAGUGAUACAACCUCGACAAAUGACGAGUGAUGUCAACCUAAGUGUAAAAGAGGGUCAUUCUCGAGAAAAGAAAUGAUACUUUGCAUUCAUGAACAUCUGGUCAUUACACCCAGGGAAUAGUGUAAUCAAACUGAUUGAAGAUAAUACAAAUACUAUGCCUUUGAGUUGCAGCGGAAUGGAUGGAAGAAACCAAAUGCUAUUCCUCUGAAAUUGCAGUAGGAGGCACAAACUUUAUGUCCUAAAAGGUACAGUGGAAGAGACUCUAAAAUUAUAGUAGGGCAAGCUUUCCGAGCAAAAUGUGAUUGUUUCUUUGACUUUUCUGUCAAGAAUACCAGCCGAACAAGAUGCCAGCGUAAUACGUCAGCGAUAAUGUCCUAAUGAACAAUGCACGAUGAUACCUUAAGCCUUUUUAAAAAGGGCUCAUGACAUUUCUACAUUCAUAUAAUAACACAUCUAGUUAGGAGCAUUUGAUUCAUUUCAAUCAUAGUAUCCUAAUUAUUUGACACAUUCAUAACACAUCUAGUUAGGAGCAUUUGAUUCAUUUCGAUCAUAGCAUCCUAAUCAUUUGACAUAAGCAUAGAUAUAUGGAACUGAUUCUACAGGUGAUGUCCCUAGAAUCAGUGAAUUCACAAGCCUUAAGCCCCUAAGUAAUAGGGUAACGGGCUGAAGAUUUACAGAUCUUAACCCCCUAAGCAGUAGGGAAACAGAUCGAAGACGAAGGGUCUUAAACCCCUAAUCGGUAGGGUAACAGACCGAAUUGUAGAUCUUAUCUCCCUAAGCAAUAGGAAAACAGAUCGAAGAUGAAGAUCUUAACCCCCUAAGCAGUAGGGAAACAGAUCAAAGAUGAUGGGCUUUAACCCCCUAAGCAGUAGGGUAACAAGCCGAAUUUACAAGCCUUAAACCCCUAAGCAGUAGGGUAACUGGCUGAAGAUUUACAGAUCUUAACCCCCUAAGCAGUAGGGAAACAGAUCCAAGAUGAUGGGCUUUAACCCCCUAAGCAGUAGGGUAACAAGCCGAAUUUACAAGCCUUAAACCCCUAAGCAGUAGGGUAACUGGCUGAAGAUUUACAGAUCUUAACCCCCUAAGCAGUAAGGAAACAGAUAAAAAAUGAUGGUCUUUAACCCCCUAAACAGUAGGGUAACAAGCCGAAUUUACAAACCUUAAACCCCUAAGCAGUAGGGUAACAGGCUGAAGAUUUACAAAUCUUAACCCCCUAACCAGUAGGGUAACAGGUUGAAUUUACAGAUCUUAACCCCUUAAGCAGUUGGGAAAUAGAUCGAAGAUGAUGGGCCUUAAACCCCUAAGUAGUAGGGUAACAGGCUGGAAAUUACAAAUUUCUUUUUCCCUGAAAUGGCAUUGGAGCGGCUAAAAGCCACAGCAGAUCUCCUUGAAGUUUCAGAGGAUCUUUUCUUCCUGAAAUGGCGUUGGAGUGGCUAAAAGCCACAACAGAUCUCCUUGAAGUUUCAGCAAACCUCUUCUUCCAGAAAUGGCAUUGGAGAGGCUAAAAGCCACAGUAGAUCUCCUUUAAGUUUCAGUGGAAGAAGAUCAAAACAAGUCUUAUCUCCCUGAAGUUGCAGAGGAGCAGACCGAAGAUAGCAGAUCUGACAUUCCUGUGCUUACAGUGAAGCAGAUCCAAGAUUUCAGCAUGGCAUCCCUGUGCUUAUAGGGAACAAGUUCAAGAUUUUAGCAUGGCAUCCUUAUGCUUAUAGGGAACAAGUUGAAAACAUCACAUUUGGCAUCCCUGUGCUUAUAGAGAACAAGUUGAAAACAUCAGAUUUGGCAUCCCUGUGCUUAUAGGGAACGGAUCGAAGAUAGCAGAUCUGACAUUCCUGUGCUUACAGUGAAGCAGAUCAAAGAUUUCAACAUGGCAUCCCUGUGCUUAUAGGGAACAAGUUGAAAACAUCAGAUUUGGCAUCCCUGUGCUUAUAGGGAACAAGUUGAAAACAACAGAUUUGUCAUCCUUGUGCUUAUAGGGAACGGAUCGAAGAUAGUAGAUCUGACAUUCCUGUGCUUACAGUGAAGUAGAUCGAAGAUUUCAGCAUGACAUCCCUGUGCUUAUAGGGAACAAGUUGAAAACAGUAGAUUUGGCAUCCCUGUGCUUAUAGGGAACGGAUCGAAGAUAGCAAAUCUGACAUUCCUGUGCUUACAGUGAAGCAGAUCAAAGAUAGCGGAUAUCGCCUUCCUGAGUUGCAGUGAAGCAGAUUGAAGCCGUCAAGAGGCCAUUUUAAAGAAGAUCAAGAACUCAAGACUCGGCGAGCCCUGGCAAAAUUGGUCUUUUGUAGUCUUUGCUCCAUUCUCGUUACACGAUAAUGAGCAAAGAGGGGCAGCUGUCAGACCCAAAUUUUGCUCGGGACCCAAUAAAACCAAACCCGAAUUAAACCUAGCCUAUUAUCCAGUUACAAGCCCAAACCCAAUUUUGGCCACCUACUCCACCACCUUUGUUGGCCACCCACCUUGGCCACCAACUCCACCACCCUUGGCCACCUAAACCACCCUAACCACUCCACUUGUAAAAUUUGGCUAUAAAAGCCAUUCAAGACUUUAUUUUUAGGGGGUGGGUUUUUGGUUUUUUGGAGAAGGAUUGUUCUUUGUUUUGGAGGAGGUUUUUUUGUUUUUUGGAGGUGUUUUUUUGUUUUUUUGGAAAGAAGGUUAUUUUUGUUUCUUGGAAAGGCUAGUUUUUGGAGAUUAAUCAAAGAUCAAAGCAAAAGAGGUUUCAUUUGUCUAUUCUUAUCUUUAGUUCUUUGUUUGUUUAUUGUUUUCCUUUCAAUUUUAUUUUGUUUUUUUUAUACGAAAGUAAAAAUAAAAGUAAGAAGCUUACCCAUAUUUUCAUUAUCGAAAAAGGUUUUUUUGAGGUCCGGCCGCUGUGUACGGUGGCGCCAAUGGCGGCCCGUGGGGGUCCAUGACUGAAGCAAAGCCGGACCAACGGCCGGAUUUAGAAAAGAGGGAGAAAGAAAGUUGAGAGCUUUGUUUUAUUAUUUUAUUAUUUUUACUAUUAUUUAUAUUAUUAUUAUUAUUUCUCAUGUAUAUAUUAUUAUUUAUAUUAUUAUUAUAUUAUAUAUACCCUCUCCAUAUUUAUUUAUAUUAUUACUAUCAUUAUUGUUACUUUUAUUAUUUUUUAUUUCUAACUACUAUUAUUAUAUAUAUAUGUAUUAUUGUUUGUAUUAUUAUUAUUAUUAUCACCCUUAUUGUUAUUACUUUACUUUUGUAUUCUAAUAUAUUAUUAAUAUUACUCAUAUUUUUAUUAUUUUUGCUAUCACUAUUACUAUUAUAUAUUAGUGUGUAUUUUUAUGUAUAUAUAUAUUUAUAUAUAGUAUUGUUUUUUAUUACUUUAAUUUAAUAUUUUUAUUAUAUUUGCUUUUUGUAUUUCUAUAUUUAUUAUUAUAUAGUAGUGUGUAUUUCUUUUAUAUACAUAUAUAUAUAUAUUUAUAUAUAGUAUUAUUGUUUACUUUACUUUAAUAUUAUUCUUAUUAUCAUUAUAUCCAACCCAAUAAUAAUUCUUUCAUAAAAGUAAUAUUCCGUAUUUGGUAAUUCGAGACAAUCGUGCCCUAACUUAUUGGGUUUCGAUUUUUCUCCUUUAACCUAAAUAACGGAAUACUCUUUUAAAUCGCGACAUGAGUUUUGAAAAAUGCUUAUUCUUGGAGAUACGAGGUGUUGUGCCCUAACUUACUGGGUAUGGCAUUUUGUUACCUCGAAAUAAGAUUUUUGCAAGUAAAGGCAAUAUUCGGUGUUUGGGAAUUCGAGGAAACGUGCCCUAACUUACUGGGUUUCGAUUUUCCUCGUUCACCUUAACUAACUGAAUAACCUUUUGAAAUACACGAAUUUUUAUAUAAAAGGCAAGCUCGUUCUCGAAAAUUCAAGAUGUCGUGUCCUAACUUACUGGAUGUGACAUUUUAUAUUAUGAGAUGAGAAUGUCCUUAACAUUUGAGCAUUUUCUUUACAAAGAGGGAUCGUAUUUUAAAUUCUUUCAAGUUUUCAAAUUUUCGACACUAAGACACUAAUUAAUCAACUAGGUACCAAUUUUGGGCGUAUCGAGGGUGCUAAUCCUUCCUCGUGCGUAACCGACUCCCGAACUCAUUUUCUGAUUUUCGUAGACAAAAAAUUAUCGUUUUAGUAAAUCUUAACUUUUAUUAAAAUGAUUAACUUAAGGUGAUCCGGUCACACCUAAAAAGAUUGGUGGCGACUCCUGUUUUCAUUUUUUUUUCUCCAAGUCGAUACCCGUUUUUUUCAAAAAAAUGGUUACGACAGAUUUUAUAGCCAAAUUAGCUUUUGGAGAAAAGGAAAACCCACAACUAAUUCAAGCCCCCCCCCCCCCAAAAAAGCAGCCUCAAAACUCAUCAAAGCUGAUAAAGAGAAGAACUUUUGUAUUUCAUUUUCCAACCAUGUAACUUGGUUUUGUAAGUUUCUUUUUUUCAAAAAAAAAAAAACGAAUUAUAACCGAAAUGAAAAGGGCUUUUUUAUAAAAAUAACUCAAAAAAUUUAAUUAAUUACACAAAUGACCUAUUUUUUAAUUAAACACGUAAAUAACAUAAAAUCUACAGUAAAAGUUGAUGGAGUCAAAGAGUUUGGCGCCACCAAUAUGCCACGUCAGCAACCAAGAUAAAAGAAUUAAUUUUUUGGUGGAGCCAUGUAGAAUGAAGCCACUUGUAUAAAUACCAAGAAAAUACUACAAUUUCUGAAAAAAUAGGAGGACUUUUAAAAACAAUUUUCCAUUUUCUAGUUAAGCCAAUUUAAUUGGCGCCAUUAGAUUUUGAUGCCUGACACCCUAUUACGGUCUUCUUUCUUCUUCUUUUUUAUAUUUUUUAAGUUUUAUCCUAUCUAUUUUUUCUUUUUUUAAUUUUUUAAUUUUUCCUUAUUUAUUUAUUUUAUUUUUAGGGACAAAACUUAAAUAAAUAAAUAAAUAAGACAGUAAUAGGGUGUCAGACAUCGAAAUAUGGUGGCGCCAAUUAAAUUGACCCCGCCAGAAAAUAGAAAUUUGUUUUUAAAGUCUCCCUAUUUUUUCAAAAAUUACAGUAUUUUCCUGGUAUUUAUACAGGUGGCGUCAUUCUACAUUGCUUCACUAAAAAAUUAAUUUUUUUAUCCUGAUUGCUGAUGUGGCAUGUUGGUGGCGCCAAACUCUUUGAUUCCACAAACUUUUAUUGUAGAUUUUAAGUUAUUUACGUGUUUAAUUAAAAAAGGGUUAUUUAUGUAAUUAAUUAAAUUUUUUAGGUUAUUUUUAUAAAAAAACCAAAUGAAAAGCGUUUAAGAGAAAUACAAGUCCGUCCCCCUUCUCCACAUACGUGUCAGGAAAAAGGGAACGUCACUUCAAUAACUCGAAUUCUUCACUGAUUGGCCCACAUGUCUACAUACACGUGUCCUUCAUUGAACUAAACUGAUCAAAUAGACGGUGCAGAUUUACCUUUUUGUAUUCAGUAAAUAGACGUCACACUAAUUGUACGUGUCGGGUCACUUUACCCGAACGGUGACGAUCACACUGCCCGAGCCUUAGGUGUGGCCCCCACCUUAAACUAGUGCUCUGAAUACAAAAAGGCAAAAGCUCUCUCCAUGCCCCCUGCCAUUUUUAUGGUUCAUUCUCCUUCCCAUUCAAUCUGAAAUUAGAAAAAGAAAAAUAAAACUCUGAUUUUGCAACGCAGCUUUGUUCUUCACUGGAACGAUUUCAAGUAAUUUAGUAGCAAACUGGUUGGAACUUAUUGCGGAGUUGUCGGAGAAAGUAAAGCGGCGGCAGCUACGGUUGAGCCAACGUUAAGAGCUUCUAGUCGUCGGAGGUUAGAGCUUCGUCCGUUUAAGAUAGUAGCUGACGCUGCUGUUCAACCACCGUUAGAGAACAGUUGGAAACGUCGUAAGCUCGAUCGCGAUUUAUUCCUACUGGUAUCUUCUCGGGAUUGUGAUGACGCGGUUCAAACCUCGAAAGAUCACGGAUUUAAAAACGAAGGUCUAUUUUCUAAUGGAACAGUAAAAUUAAUGAAUAAGAAGUUCGUGGAAGAUGAAAAGGAACGGCCGAAGUUCGGAAUGGCUUCCGGUUGUGGAAGUAGACGAGAUAUGGAAGACGCUGUUUCGAUUCAUCCUUCGCUUUGUAAACAAAGCUCUCAAGUUCAAAUUUCGUCGGAUAUUCACUUUUUCGGUGUCUUCGACGGCCACGGCUGCACUCAUGUACUAAAUCGAAUCUUGAAAUAUUUCUUAAAUUCAAUUUUAUUAACAAAACUUAAUUAGUUAUGUUAUAACUGAAUUUUUUUUUUUAGGUUGCGAUGAAGUGUAGAGAUCGAUUUCACGAGAUAGUGAAAAAAGAAGUCGAAGCAUGCGGCAGUUUGAAGGCGGUGGAGUGGAAGAAUACGAUGGAGAGAAGCUUUGAGAGGAUGGAUGAAGAAGUUAGAGAAUGGACAGUAAACGCCAAGGAGAGUUCUACCUGCCGAUGUGAGCUUCGAACUCCACAGUGCGACGCCGUCGGAUCCACCGCCGUAGUUGCUAUAAUCACCCCGGAUAAGAUCAUUGUCGCUAAUUGCGGUGAUUCUCGCGCUGUUUUGUGUCGAAAUGGUGCCGCUUUCCCGCUCUCCGACGAUCACAAGGUGAGACAUUUUAUUCUUUAUUUCAAGGUUUUUAAUUUAUUUUUUAUGUAUAAGAUAAGGAGAUAAGUAUUUAUUUACAAAUAAAUUAUAUAUUUUUUAAAUAAGAUAUUUAAAUUAUCAUAUUUAUUUUUAUCAAAAUAUCUAAAAUAAUAUAAAAUAUUAUAUUUAUAAGAUUAAAAUUAAUAAAUAAAUAAUUGUUUUAAAAAAUCAAUAAUGAUUUUUAUAAAAAAAUCAUAUUCCGUAUUUAUAUUUAUUGAUUUAUCAAACAAUUUUUUUAAUAUGAAUUUCAAAUUCAAUAUGCUUAAAUUUUUAGCACUCUUUUUAAUUUUGUGUACUUCCAUAUUAUUCGAUUGUAGCCGGAUCGACCCGAUGAAUUGCUCCGAAUAGAAGAAGCCGGUGGCAAAGUAAUUUAUUGGGACGGCCCUAGAGUUCUUGGUGUUUUAGCCAUGUCUAGAGCAAUUGGUAAGUUUUGUUUUUUUUUUUAUUAUAUAAUUUUUCCUUUUUUCCUUAUUUAAACUUUCGUUUAUUUUUUAAAAAUUUUUCUAUCUAUUUGAUUUUUGCAGGUGAUAAUUAUUUAAAACCGUUUAUUAUACCAAAACCUGAGGUGAGAAUAACAGAAAGAAAAACCGAAGACGAGUGUUUGAUAUUAGGAAGCGAUGGAUUGUGGGAUGUAAUGACGAAUGAUAUGGCAUGUAAGGUGGUGCAUAUAUGUUUAUGCGCAAGAAAACCAUCAUUUGCACCCGGGCUUUCAGGUAAUGACAUGGCGGUAAAAAAUGGUGCAUUCGAAAGUUUUGAUAAACAAUGUUGUGAUGCCUCUGUUUUGUUAACGAAGUUGGCCUUGGUUAGACAUAGCGCGGAUAAUGUCAGCGUGGUGGUUGUUGAUUUGAAGAAAAAUCAACAGGCGAAUUAAUUGGGAAGAAAUCAUUCAAUUAAAAAUUUGAGUUCUUUUUUUGUAAUUAUAAGAUCUAAAAUAUCUUAAAAUGAAAUGGGAAGAAAAGAAAAAUAUGGGUUUUUAAUAAUCUUUGAUUAUUUAUUUAUAUUUUUAUAAAUUAUAAAUGUAGAAUAUAAUUACAUUAUUGUGCAUUAGAAUGAGAAAAUAUUUGGUAUUAGUUGAUAAAUCCUUAAUAAAGAUAUAUUCAUUUUUAAUAAUUUAUUUAUAAAAUAAAAAAUAUAUUACUAAUUUUUUAACCCAUAUUUAUUUUAGGGUUUUGCAUUAAAUCUUUUUCAUUGAAUUAAAGUUUAUUUUAGAAUUAAAAAUAUAUUUAAUUUAAAAUAUCUUAUUAUGGAAAUUGUAAUAAUAAAAAUGAAAUAAUAUAUUACCUUAAUUUCAAUUAUAUCUUUCUCAUCCUUUUAUAAUUUGUAAAACAAGUCGCUCGCAUAAUUUUUGGCUCAAUUUAUUUAAUAUACCUAAUCAACUUUAUUCUUACCUCUCUACUAUUUUUAAUUAAUUUUUGUUGGCCAAAAUUCCUAAUUAACAUUAAGUUAUUAUAAACAUUCGGAAAUGAAUAUUAUAUUUAAUAUUUGAAGUUUUUUAAAUCAAAAUUUUUACUGAUUUUAUUACCACAUUUUUCAAUAAAUUAUGUUUAUUUAAUAUAUUAAGGAUCGAAUCUAAAGGAGAUUGAGUGAUACGAAGAAUUACGAAUAUAACACAUGCAAAUUAACAAGUCUAGCUAGCUAUUGUUUAAAAAGCAUAGUACGACCAACCAAAAAAAUUGUAGAAUUAUACGAAGGUAAUAGUUAAAGGAUUGAAUUGUAAAAGUUUAAAAUUAUAACAGUAAUAACCAGAAACAAAUGUAGUAGUUUAUUAACAUUCAUGAUAGUAAUUAAUUUUUGGAUCAAGAAUUAAAUUGAUUAAUUUUCGAAUUGGUUUAAUUUUUACUUUUUGGUCUAUAAUUUACCCAAUUAACGAGUUAGUCUAAUUAAUCUCUCAAUAUCACUUAGACUAGAGGAGUCACACUAGGCUGUAAUCGAGGUGGUUGGAGGAGUAGCUUUUGCUGGUGGUAGGGUUGGAGGCUAGAGGAUCUCUCAAAGCCUUCACUUGUUGUUCUAAGGUGGGGAGAUGAAUGUUUGCAUAUUACAGAUGAGCUCCAGCAAGAAUGGAGGCAAAAGGAAGAGUUUGCGUAGAGUUCAAGCCAGUAGAAAUACCAAAGACAGAUGGGAUAGAGGUUUUGAGCAAAGUGGAAGAGUUGACUUGGUCAGUUGGGUUAUUGAUCUAGUUGGUUUGAUCAGCUGGGGUGCCACUUUGAGAAUGCGAGGUCAUGUUGUCCACAUUCACCGCACCAAUCAUUGAUAUUGUAUACAAUAAGAGAAGAGUGUACGGGAGAGUGUAGUGGUUGUUAUGGACGUCGGUUCACCCAAUCCGGACAGAAAGCUGGAGGUUAUGAGGAGUGGGGGUGAAGAUGGCGUAAAGGUUAAGGGUUGAAAGAGUGUUGAUUAAGUGUAGGUUUAGUAUUCUUGAAGGAUUGAUCCUCUUCUUCAUCGUUUCUAGAGGUUUUCGAUGGGAGGAGAAUGUCUGUGACAGAACAGAUCUUGUAAUUCAUUUUGACUCUAAUGUGAUAAAGCAAUUGAGCCCACGUGAUAUUCGGUGAGCAACAACUUCAUGUUCCCAAUGGAGAUUAGGCCAUUUGUUGCAUAGAUAGUCAUGCCGAAAGGGUGAACUCCCAAGUGACCUUCUAAAUAUCUGAUGACAAACUUACUAUUCAGGCUUUUUUUUUUUAACUUGCCCCAUGCCCAUGAAUGGGGUAAAACAAGAAUACUAGUCUACUUAAUGGCAUUAGUUUGAGAUACCAACUUGUUCAGCAAAACAAAUUUACAUGAACUUAAGUGAAUAAUAAACUUUCAAAGUAUCUAAAUGAAAAUAUUAUAAAAGCUAAUUUUAUAUAUUAAAAUUUCUCAUAUUAUAUGAGUACUAACUAUAUAAUAUAUUAUAGUGAUUAAACCACAAAUAGAAUGACAAAACAAAGGUCCAUGAUUCCCACUCUGCUUUGCAUGGGUCAAGCUGGCCAUGAAUUUAUAGCCAUUAAAUUUAAAAAUCAAUGAAUCUAUUUUUUAUUGCUAUUAAUUAAGAUAAAAUUGAAUUAUAUCCUGCUAAAAUUUCUUCAUGGUGUUCACUUUUCCUUUUAUGAUAUUUUCUUUCUUUUGGAUUUCCUCCUAAUCUUUUUCAUUUGAGCUAUUCCUCUAAUUUAAUUUGAAUUAUUAUUACAUUACAAACUUACAUAAAAUUUAAGAAGGAUAAAAUAGGCCAUAAUUCCGAGCAUUUUCAUAAAUUUGAAAUUUAGUGUAUAUAUUUUUAUUUUUAAAAAUUUAAUUUCUCUAUUUUUUAGAUUUUAAAAUUCAUGUUCAGUUGUUAAUAUUGUUAAUUUUUUUUAUUAAAUUUAUUGAUAUGAUAUUUUAAAAUUAAAAAAAUACCCAUUUAAUAACCAUAUAACUAAGAAAAUUGACGUUAUAACUAACUUAUAAAAUAUUUUAACCUUUUAAGAAAUUAAUGAAUUAAACGAGUAAAAUGUUGCUAGAGAAGUCAUUGGUUUAGUGAUAAAAGAUUUUGUUGAUUUCAAACUUUAUAUAUUGUUAGUGUUGAAUAAACCUAUCCAUGGAUUGAGUAGUCUGUUUCGGCUCGAUUUUAAAUUAAAUAAUUUUUAAAAAUAUUUUUAUUUUAAAUUUAAUUAUAAAAUAAUAUAUUUUAAAGAUUUUAUUAUUGUUUAUUAAAUAAUGAGAUGAGAUAUAUCUACAUGGAUGAUGCUUCUUCAAUUAUUAUGGUGGGAAUUUUCAAUCAAUUAAAGAAAAAAAAAAAAGGAAAUCCACCGUAUCAGAUUCCUGCAAUUACUAUGAGUUUUCAUUUCUUACAAUCAAAUAACCAUUGGUUUUCCUGAUCCCAUGUGCAAGCAAAUUGGAAAUUGAUUUUACUCAUUUCAAUUUUUGGGGUUUGCUUCAAUUGUAAUAUAUAAUCAAUUGAGUCUUAAUUCGAUUGAGAUAAACAUUAUUGUCGUCAAUAUAGGAGGAUGUGAGUUUGAAAUUAAGUCUAUACCCUCUUUUAUUAUUAUUCUUGGUAGAAUUCUAUGUUUGAUAUUUAGAAUAUCAAAUAGUUAAUUAGAAUAAUUAGAUCUAUAAUUGUCUUUUUUGUUUUAAUAAUUAGUAACAAGUUACCGUAUUUUAAUUGAAUACUAGUCGGUUGAGUUGUGCUAUGGGAGUGACAUGAAACAAUGUUAAUGCCAAUCGAGUUAAAACUCAAUCUAUUAUAAAUUACAAUUGAAGCAAACCCCAAAAAUUAAAAUAAAUAAAAUCAAUUGUUCGACCAGAAAGAUUCUAUAUUCAAUUUUAUUCUAUUAUUAAGUACAAGAAAUUAAAUUUGAUAAAUUUGAUACUCAAUCAGCAACCUCAAAUCUACUCAUUUUCUAAAGCACGUGAAAGCCAAGCUUCAUCAAUGAACAUGCAUCAACAACAGGGGCGUAACUAAGGGGCUGGCAUCGGCCCUGGCCUCCCCUAAAAUGUAAAAUUGCAUUUUAGGCCCUUUAAAUUAGUAAAGGUAAAAUUGCACUUUGACCCCCUUAAAAUUAUAAAAAUUUGAUUUAAUCCUUUACAAAUUAUAAAGAUAUAAACUAUAGAAAAUUAAAAUUCCAUCCGCCUCCUAAAAAUUUUUCUAACUUCGCCCCUGAUCAAUAAUAUUUUAAAAACAGAUCAUCUUACAUUCUCAAAAGACUACAAAUAUUUCAUUAAAAUCUCCCAAAAAAGGCCGAAGGAGGCCAUUAGUGGCAACCAUCUACCGGAGCAUACCUACUCAACAUCAAAAUCUGACAUUGAACACACUAUAAAAUCCGAUAAAGUACCAAGAAGAAUCCUCCUGAAUUAACAUGUCGAAUUGAAUAAGAAUGCAAACACCAAAUUAAUAGCCAGUUUCUAAAAGAUAGCCAACCCACCACUUGAAUCCAUAGGACUCACAACAAAACAAUUAGAGUACCCCAAUUUGAAACACAAAGGCCCAACCUUUUGAUUCAUGCAACUAUUAAUUCAAAAGAGCAUUACUUUCCAUAGUCAUUUCUGUUCUUAUUAAAUUCACUGCACAACAAUCCAUUGUCGUCCAGUGGUUAGGAUAUCUGGCUUUCACCAGGAGACCCGGGUUCAAUUCCCGGCAAUGGAAUACUUUUAAAUUUUUAUUGCUCACCCACCAGCUUUUUUUUUCUUUUUCAUUUUAUAAACUCGGUUAAUUUUCAAAUUUAGUCCUUUUAAUAUGCUUAAAUUAGAAGUUUAAUCCUUAUACUUUAAAUUCCAAAUGUAGGAAGUGUAAAGCUCGUCCUCUAUAUUUAAAAUAACAUGGUUUUUUUUUUAAAAUUCUUUUCUAGACAGGAAACAGUUUUUUUCAAAUUUCCCAUUUUUUUUUUCAAUUUUGAAAUAGCAGAAAUUCCAAAAAUAUUGAAAAGAUUGAACUGACUUCUCAACAAUUUUCCAAGAUUGUGUAUUUUUUUUACUUUAAUAUUUUAAAUUUAAAAAAUAUAUUUAAUAAAUAUACAAUAAAUAUAAAGUUUAUUUAGAAUAUGUAAUAUAACAUCUAUUAUAAAAUAUAAUAUAUAAUAAUAGGUAGUGAUAAACAUUAAAUAAUAAUAUAACUGGGAAAAGCUAUUUAUCAUGGAUACUUAAAUAAAAUUUUUGAAUAGUUAAAUGAGAAUUUUCGAAUAGUUCAAAAAUUAAAUUGUAAUUUUUUUUAGUAAAGUGGCUAAAAUAGUUAAUAAUUAAUGGAGCAGUUUACCCAAAAUAUCAAAAAGAGUUGGGCCAUAUUGAAAUGGGCUUGACCCAAUGAUGACAUUUUAGAUAUCAACCAUUAAAAUCAUAUUUUGUACUUUUCAAAGGGAAUUCAAUUUGAAUUCAAAUUGAAGUUUGAUAAUCUACUCACUUUCUCUUUUCAAAAAUGCUUGAAGCAUUAUUCUAAUUCAACUUAUAAAUUAAUUUCAAAUUAAAAUGAAAUAAGACUUAUUAAAAAAUUCAAUUAAAUUUCUAGGAAUUUGAAGAGGAUAAGCGUAGUCGUUAAAAACUCAAGCUUAUCUGUCAAGGAUAAGAUCUCCCAUGUAUGUUUUGAGUUUGUAAGGAGAUUUGUUCAUUUGUCAAGGAUAAGAUCUCCCAUGGGUCUAUUAAUUUUUGUUCAAAGUUUCAUGUUAAAUGAUUGUAGAUAGAAUCCUUUUGUAAAAACAUAUUAAUUAAUUUAUUUCACUAUUUUAUCUAAGGGUGAAGGUAGAAAAUUAUUUUAAGAGACUAAAAUUAAAUUUUAAUUUUUACGAUAGUAAAAUCAAAUUUUUAUCUUUUUUAGAAGGGGCUAAAGUGUAAUUUUACCUUUAUUAAUUUAAAAUUUUUAAAAAUCUUAAAGAUAUAAAUGAAAAUUUUUUCAUUUUAAGGGGGACGAGUUCCUUGCCAGUCCCCUUAGUUACGCCCCUAAUCUUACCCUAAAAAAGAAAAAAAAUAUGGAUAACAGGGUUUUACAUAAAAAUGUGUUCAUAUGUCGAAUCAAAUAUUAUAUAUAUAUAUUAUAUAUAUGUUUAAAAAUUACUAUUAAAAAAUAAAAUAAAAACAUAAUUUUGUAAUUUAUUAAUUUUAAAAUAUAAUAUAGAAUUAAAUUAAAAUAAAAACAAUCUUUAUCAAUGAAAUGUUUCAAGCAUGAUUUAAGUUAAAACCUUAAAUUCAAGUCUUUAGUUUACACUUAAUUGCAAAUUCAAACAUAUAAACUACACUUUCCUGCCUUCUUAUAAAAAAAACAAAAUGGUUCAAAUAUUAUUUGAGUUAAGAUAGGUUAAAUUUUAAGAAUAGUUCCUAUACUAUUUUUAUUUGCUUAAAAUUGAUCUUUUUAUUUUUUAAAUUUUUAAAUUUUUAGUCCCUCCAUUAAUUCAGUUAAAAAUUAAGUACAAUCACAAAUUUAGCUCCUUAAUCUUUCUAACUUUUGCUAAUUUGGUCUCUACUCUUUUUAUUUUUCCUUUAAUUUUUAAAAUUUCAAAAAUUUAUAUAAAAAAUAUAAGAUGAGCAAAUCGAGAAGGAGAAAGACCAAUUUUGAGCAAAUAAAAGUGGAGAGGCUAAGUCUGCACAAAUUUAUAAGAACAUGGACUAUCCUUAGAAUUUAACCUAUUUUUAAAAGAAUAUAGACUAUUUAUCAAUUUUUAAAGGUAUUUACAAUAUAUUUAAAAAAUAAUUUUACUAAUAUGUAUUGAGUAUAGUGGUAAGUUACAUUACACUUCGAAAGAAAGAACACAUGUUUAAAUCUUAAAAAUACGUUAUAAGAAAAGCAACCACGAACCUCAAUCAUGAAUAUAUAGUAAUGAAAAAGAAGAGAAAAAAAAAAACUCCCCUUACACCAAAAGAAAACCUAUGAUAAGAUGUGUGACCCUUUUGGCCAUUUUCUUUUUUGAAGGCGGUUAGGUUAGUUAAUGAGUUAGGUACUCUCUUCAUGCAACUUAAAGUAAGAUUCCAAAGUGAGACAGCCAAAAGAUCAAAGAUGAGGACUAAAAAAUUCUUGAAUUUCAAAUUUAAGUAUAAAUUUAUCAAUUAUUAUAUGUUUAGACCAAUAAAUGCUAGCUACAAUUGUAAAGCGCAUUAUAUUGUUUAGAAUUUAAUUUAAGCCCGAAUUUUGAAAAUAAUAUUAUUAAAAGAGAUAAGCAUAAAUUACGAAAAGAUUAAUUUUAAUGAAACCUAAAACCGACAUAAAAAAUAUCUUAAUUAUACAAAGAAAAAAGAUCAUAUAUGUUUUGAAAAGUUAAAAGAAGUGAUAUAUAUUUUUUAACAUUAAACUCGAUAGGUUCUUAUCAUAUAUAUGCUCUUUUUACAAUGCUUAGAACUACUCAUAACUUAUUCCUAAUUCUUCUUCAACACACUCGAACCCAUAUUCUUCUGUACUGACAAUAAUACCGAUACUAAUCGAAUUAAAAUUCAAUCGACGAAGAGAUAUAAAUUUUAAAAUGGAAGGCAAAGAUAGAGAAUGAGAAUGAAUGAUAUGUUGCAUGAAAAGGAGGAAAGAAAGUUGGAAGAUAUGAUUCCAAAUUUGCUUGCUCAAGAAACUAGGAAGCAUUUUUGUUUUCUUUCAAAUGGGGUAGCGUAAAGCUAAGUAAAACAAAUAAAUUAUAAUGGAACAUGUUUUUGUUGUAAAGAAGAGACAUAAUUUGGGCAAUGGUCCCUUGACCCAAGCAACUGGUCUGCUAAAAGAUCAAGCAAUUUGUCCUUCCAACAAAUCUUGCAUUAUGUUAUGCUUAAGGAAUUUAGCACUAAACACUUUAUUUUCCCUAUGGCAUGUUAAUUAAAUCUCAAACACUUAUUAGUCAUCCUUAAAUGUGGUAAUUGAUGGUAAUUAACCUUUGAACAGAAUAAAUUAUAACUCAGUUAGUUCAUUUAUAAUUUUUAAAUAAUGGGCUUUGAAUUUGAAUGUUAAAUAUUUUAGAUAAGUUCAUGGAGCGGAUUAUGAAAGUCCGUUUGAAAGUUAGGAAGUUUUGAUAAAAAAAAAAUUAGACUUAAAUAAACAAAAAAAUUAAGUCUAUUUAAAACUUGGGUCUAGCUCAAGCUUUAAUGUUCAAUGCCUGAGUUGGCUUGGCCUGGCGCAUUUUUAAAGUUGAUAAUAUAUUAUAUUAUAUAAUUUAUAACACAUAAAAAAUAAAUCUAUAGUAAUAUAUAAUACUACAAUGUAAACAUAAAAAAAAGUUAAAAUGAUUAUACAAAAUUUUAAUAAAUGAAAAAAUAUAUAAUUAUUAAAUAUUAAAUUUUAAAAAUAUAAACAUUUUUAAAAAAUAAUAUGGGAUGGUCCAAAAUGGACUUAGGUUAGUUAUUUACGAAAAGUGGCAGAUUUUAACAAAAUUUUAGACCCAUAUUUUGGGUCCAAUCUGACUUAAACAAAUAUGAAGUAGGCUAAUAUUAUGUUUAAGUCCGACUUGAAUUCAACCCAACUUGACCAAAAAAAUAAGGCUACUAAAACCUUCUUCUUUUUUUGUCAUUGUUUUAAGGGUAAACUUUCCAAUUGGUCACUUAACUUUUAGGGUGUUUUCAUUUUGGUCACCCACAAAGAAAUCCUUGCAAUUUUAUCACCUAACUUUUAGGAUGCUAUCAUUUUAGUCAUCUAAGCAUUAAAUCUCUAAUAAUGGUUGGCUGUACACAUCAUAUCAUGUUUACACUUUUGUUUUGGUCAUUCAACUUCUAGGUCACUUUCAUUUUGGUCACUUCAAAAAUAUAUUUUUUAAAAUAUUGAUCGGAGUAAAAAAAAAAGGAAACAUUAAGGAUUAAAGUGAAAAAGUAUUAGAAACUAAAUUAAUGCAUUAAAAAUUCCAUCAUAUUGUACUUGUUUACACUAUUGAUGUAACUUCUACUUUUUUUUAAAUAUUGAAAUUCUAAAUAUCAAGACAUUAACUAAAUUACUGAAAAAAAUUAUCUCUUGAUAGUGUCAACUGAUUUGUUAGUAUAAUAUCGAAUUUAAUUAAUUUAAUCUCCUUCUAAAAUUUACAAUUUUAUUUUAUAUUCCUAAACUAAAACUAAAUCAAAUAUUACAAAAUUUUGGUAUUUAUUAUGAUUUUUGUGAAAAAAAUAAAAAAUUACAAAAUUAGAUAUUUUGGAGCCCAAAAGACGGUGAUAUAUAUUUUUUACAAAGCUUAGAUUUAUAAAAAUCCGUCGAACCGAACCUAACUGAACUGCGAUUUCCGACUUCAAAUAUUUCAGUUUUUAGUCUAUACGAUUUCAAUUUUGAUUUUAGAAGUAAAAAAUCGAAUAGAACAAUUCAAUUCAAUUUUUGUCCAAAAAUCGAACUAAACUGAAUACACCCCUAAUGAAACCUCAUUAAUAACCCUUUAAACAAAUAAAUAAUUAAAAUCAACAUAGUGUAACCCAAAUUCAAGGUGGGGUUAGAACAUAGCAAGAUAAGACCUCUCCAAUCUAUUAAAUGUUAAUCACAAUCUCCAUUAUCAAGGACUUGUCUUGUUAUAUCUCUUUCAACCGUUAAUAAGUUUAACUGAUAAAUAAAUAUAAAUAAAAUAUAAGUUUUGAAAAAUUUCAACAGGAAAACCAAUAUUGCUUGUUGUUUUUGGUUACUCGUUUUUGUUAGAUAGGAUAAUUAAGGCAUAUAUAAUCUAUAUGUAAGAGUAUGACCUUCGUCGAUUUUGUAAAAACAAUACUAUUAAUAGUACUUAAUAUACCACGUGAUCAAUAAUCCAUUGUCGUCCAGUGGUUAGGAUAUCUGGCUUUCACCCAGGAGACCCGGGUUCAAUUCCCGGCAAUGGAAUCGUCUUAAAUUUUUACUGCUGUCCGGACACGUAGGAACACCACCAGCUUUUUUUUUUUUUCUUUUUUCAUUUUAUAAACCGGUUCAUUUUCAACUUUAGUCCUUUUAAUAUGCUUGAGAUUUAAUUCUUAUACUUUAAUUUCAAUUUUAGUCUUAAUAUGCUUAAAUUUAAUAUUUAAUCUUUAUACUUUAAUUUCAAUUUUAGCCACAAUAAGCUUUAUAUUUAAGAUUUAAUCCUUAUACUUUAAUCUUUUAACAUCAUUUCAUCUCUAUAUUUUUAUAAUUUUAUUAAUUAUUUCAAAUAGUUAAUAUCGUUAACUUUUCAAUUAAACGUGAUUACAUAUAAUUUGAAAAUAGAUUUUUAAAAUAAUAAGUUAGAGAAAUAAAUUCUAAAUAUACAAAGUGUAGAGAAUUACAGUUAUGGUUGUUUGAACUUAAUCAGAUCGGCUGGUUGGAUCGAGAAACUGUCAAGAUAUCAAUCCGAAGAGAGGCAUCAGAUUGAUUGACCUGCGAAUUGAUACGGACCGAUUGAACCAAACAAAAAAACCAAUUGAAUCAAAUUUUUUAAUGUUUUUUAAUAAUUCAUUUAAUUGAAUUGUAUGAAUUAACGGUCUGACCAAUUCAACCACUAAUCUAGUUUUGAAAACUUUGCUUAGAGUAUAUUUGAUCUUCAAAAUUUUACUCUAUAAUUUCACAUUAAGAAAUAAUCAACCAGACGUGGGUCAACCAUAUUAAUUCAUGCUCAAAUAUGAAAAAAAAAAUUGAUGGGGCACUCAUAUUUAUUAAAUAUAAUUAUAUUUUUUUAAAAUAAAUUAAAGUGUAAAAAUAAAAAUAAUUUUAUAUGUAGCACCCCAAACCCGGCCCAGUCGUUAAGGCCGAAUCCGACGUGCCACUUUGAAGUCAAAAACCCGUGUUCCUUUUUUAGUGUUUUAAAAAAAAACCGACUUUUGUCAAACUAACCAAGUGAAUGGAAGCUGGGCACCAGGUAGGUAUCCAUAACAGAGGAGGUGAGCCAUGGAGGCUGCUUAAGUACCAAGCUCUCCGAUUGGAUCCAAUCCUAGACAUGCCCACAUCCAUUGCCACACUUGAUUAUAACAAGUUGAAAUUUCUUUGAGUGAUUAUCUUUAGUAAACCGAAUAUUCGUGACGUCGUGUUAUUUUAAAAAAAAACAAGUAUCGUUUUGAAAUCACACCCUAAGUCUAGCCCAUUUGAAUUAGUAUCCAUCAAUUUAAAGUUGUUUUUAAUAAUAUAAUCCCAGAAAAAUCAAAGAAGAAAAUAAAGUUAAAAUGGCCUUAUUACAACCCAAAAAUUAAAUAGCAAUUAAAAAUAACUUAAGAAAACCAGUCUCUUUUUCAAACCCAAAAGUAUUCACCAUGGCCACUCUGAAUCCCCUCCGGCUCCAAGUCACCCACAUCAAGGCUCACCUGCAAGGUUAAAGAAGGGGUGAGUUUGGGGAAACUCAGUAUGUAAGGAAAACCCAUUCAAAGCCCAAGUCAGCUCAAGCCCAUUGGGCCUAAGCCCAUUUAGGUAACAGUGGUACUGGGCCAGAGCCCUUUUCAGAUUACAAUAAACUGGGCCUUAGCCCCUUAUUCAGAUAACAGUAUGGCCCAUAGGCCCAUUUCAAAAUACAUGCAACAUCAGUAAACAUAUGCAAGCCCAUUUGGGGAGACUACUCAACCCGCCAACCACUACACUCCACCCGUACCAGCCAUACACUCCAUGUGGGGAAUAGCUCAACCCACCCAGCCCAACACUCCACAGUUGCAGCCUUGCUGCUCAGUUAACUGUAAAUUGAGGCAAAGCCUCCAGUACGUGGACAAGCCACUUUCAGUACUUCCUCCGUCAAUAUCCCAGUCCCAUGCAUCAAAUAAUAACAACAUGGCAUGCAUUAAAUAACAACAGUCAAACAUGAAUUUAGGUCAAUUUAACCCUAUGGGUAUUUCGGUAAUUUAUCUCCUAAGGGUAAAACUGUAAAUUUUUCACUUUUAAAGGUAUUUCAGUAAUUUAUCUAUUUUAGGGUUUUUCAUGCAUAUUCCUACCUUUCACAUACUAACAGAAUCACUAUCGAGGGUUCUUACCGAAUUGGGCUCGUUGGCCCAUCAUUCCAAUUUUGGCCCAUUAAGCCCAAAAAUAUCGAGGGCACAAAAAUCAUGCACUUUGCAGUCCAAACAUUACAGCUUACCAAAAACAUUAAUCGAUUUACCUCACGAGCAUUCGUACACUCGCAAAUCUACAAAAUACCGGUUUUUGGCAUUUCGGCUUUUCGACUUUUGCCGAUCCAGACUAAGAAAGAGGGUGUUAGUUACACACCUGUUUGCGACGAUAUGCUGACGAGAUCCACACACGAACCGCCUACAAUUGGAUUACUAACACGUUAAUCUAACUAUUCAAAUACAAACUACGUAUUAACCCCUUACAAUAUUCGGCCAACCACACUUACAGAUCAUAGUAAGCUUAUAAGAAAUCAAUAAGCAACUCAUUAACAAAUUUUUGUCAAUGUUUACCACAUAAUCAUAAUUUCACUGUAAGCUGUCUUCCUGAGCAACAGUCACUAAAUCAUUUAUAACUGGAGCUACGAAACUCCAAAUCAAGUGCCGUUAAUUUUCUCUGAAAAUAGACUCAUAUAUCUUAUAUCCAUAAAAUUUCAGAAUUUUUGGUUUGACCAAUCAAUACCAGAUUUUUCUCAAAGUUUCGCAUGUUUCACUAUUUGACUAAUCUGACCACUCUUCAUUACAAAUCAAAUUUCUCAUUGUACAGAAUUCAAAAUAUGUUCUCGUUUAUUUCAUUUGAAACUAGACUCAACAAGAUUUAAUUACAUAAUUUAUUCAGCUUCUAAUUCAUCUCCCACAAUUUAUGGUGAUUUUCCAAAUUCACGUUUUAUUACUAAAUUCACUCUUUCACACAUAACUUGCAUGCAUGUUAUUUAAACAUGUAUAUCACCAAUCAAUCAUCACAUAUCUAUAAUUUUACUUAAGUAUAAUCUCCAUUUCAUCAUUUUAAAGCACAUGUUAGCCAAUUUUUCCCCUUAGCAUCUAAGGCACAUGCAUGCUCAUUUGUUUGGCUCAACUUCACCUAUCUUCCAUUUUUCAUCAAAAGAACAUGAAACAACAACCAUUUCCUUCAUUUUAAUUCAUGACUAAAUGCUCACAACACAACUAAAAACCAAAAUACGCUUCAAGAGUUAAGGUAGAAUCAAGAAGAACUCAUGAACCUCAAAAUAAAAGCAAACUACCAUGAACUUACCUUCAAUUUUUCUUCCCCAAGUGACCGAACAUUCAAGAGCUUUCUUCUCUCCUUUCUUUUCUCUAACUUUCGGCUAUUAUGAACAAAGAUGUACAAAACUUUGUUCUUUUCACCCCUUUUUUUAAAAUAAAAUUUCAUAUUUCAUCCAUUUAAUUCUUUAAUACAAAAGAAAUGAAAUUCCCAUCAUGGAACAUUUACCUAACCCAUUAUCAUGGAACAUUUACCUAACCCAUUAUCAAUUUGUAUCAAUUUGUACCAUAAAUUAUGGAUAUCAAGUGCACAUUUUGUCUACAACAACAUGAUGACUAGCCACUUCAUGUAAAAUGGGAGGUUUGUCAUGCAAAUCCUCCUAUUUUGCACUCCUAUUUAUUUGGCCACUUCAAUUUAGCCUAUAGCAUUUUCAAAUAUUUUCACAUAGGUUCUAUUUCAUAAUUUCACCCCAUUUUUCUUAUGGAACAAAAAUUAACUAAAAUUGUCGGGUUCUAUCUUAAGCUUGGCUUUCUAGAGGCCCACUAACAUAAUUAAACUUAUGCCAACAUUCACAGAAUUCCCGAAAAUUUGAGCGUUACAUUAUAAAUCAAUGAUUAUUUCUAGUAAUAAAAAAUAAUUUAUUUUACUGCAAAUGACAUAUUUAUCUUUAACAGAUAAGUUUGAUAUACUCAAUUUUUUCUUUUUCUUUUUUUGAAUUAUAAUAAUAGAGUAAAGCCUGAAUAAAAAACACGACUAGCGCGACUCGAACUCAAAUCACACCUGGGACAAUGAACAUCCUAUCAAUUUAAAUAAUUGGUGAUACUAAAUCAAGUGAUAUUUGGAUAAAAAAAGUACGUUUUUCCAAGAAAAAAAUUAUUAUUCUCAAUAUUCAUAAGAUGAAUUGGUUGUUGUGGUUUCUAUAAAGCUUAAAUUCAAUUAUACAAAGCAUUAAGACCAAUCUUUUUUUUCCUAAUAACUUAACAACCACCGUCCUUAUUAAACUCAUUUCAAUCAACUUAUGGACUCUAUCAGAAAAUUUGAUAGAGGGAACUCCAUUAACGAUCCUUAUUGCAAAAUCCCCCUCCAUAAGAGCAAUAUCAUCUUCAUCAAACGCUACACCAUUUCCUUUGGAUCCUUGACCAUUAUGCAUUAAUAGGUCAUUGAACCCCAUCGUCCCCCCAAUUGGAUUAGAGUCCAUAAGAUCACCCAAGUCAUUAGGCAGUUCUGCCUCUUGCCGAUGAACCUUUUUCAUAACCCUACCGCCAUUGGCAACGCCCAACGAGGAAGAGGUUAGAGUGUUUGAUUAAAGUGUUUGAUUGGAGCAAUUUAGAGCUUAAGGACUCAAUUGAGUUGUUUUUUUCCCAAAGAACAUGAUUGAUUUUUUUUUAACAGUACAAGGACUUUUCAUACAAAUACUUGAGCUAUAAGAUACGUAGAAAGUUGAAAACUGAAAGGAGGCCAGUAAUUAUACCAAAUCUUUGCCCUAAUUUCUUCUUUUAACUUUUUAAAUUAUACCAAAUCUAUACUUAUCUUGUAAUUUACUUCAAUUCAUAGAAUUCCCAUAAGGAAAAAAAAAAGAAAAAAACAAUUAUAUAGCACAAUUUCAGCGUACUAGAUUUCAAACUUGACAAUUUUUUUUAUUUAGUGUGAUGAUUAUAGUAUUUUAUGAUUGUGUCACAUCAUCACUUAAAUUUUUUAUAAAAAAAAUAUAAUUUCUACGUAAUGACAUGGCACAAUGUUAUAGUGUUAUGUCGUCACAUGGACCAAAAGUAGAAAAUGUUAACAAGUUCCAAGAUUAAUGUGAACUAAUUAAAAAAAAUUACCAAGUCAAGAACUAAAUAUUACUUUAUCCCAUAUUAAAAUGGUUAAAAUAUGUCAUAGGUCAUAGUAGUGUAUUCUUCACGAAUUUAAAAUUAAGUCACUGUACUUUUAUUUUUAAGAACUUACAGCAUGUUUGGUUGGGUGUAUUGGCAUAGCCAAUACACCCCUAAUCGUGGGCCCCACUUAUUACGCCUCUAAUCCUUUGUUUGGUUCAAUGUAUUGCUAUUACGGGGCUAAACCAUUACUGACCUAAUCGGUGAAAUCCACCGAUUUCUAAUCCCUGUCUUUAGCUCAGUUUAGGUGCUGCUUCAAGUUUUAUACCCUGUUUACCCUCCCAAUCGACAGAUCCCUUUUUCGCCUUCUGUUCCUUCCUUCUAGCUUGGGGUUUCUGCCUAUUUGCUCCCUCUGUCCCUCUGCCUAUAAUACUCUCCAGCAAUAUACACACCGACGCACAAGGAAAGCACUAUUGGUAAGCCUUUAUUUCUCCUACCCUGAACUUUUCUCCAGAAACAAUCACUCUUAUCAUGUUUUUCGUUUCCUUCAUGUAAAGCAGUUGCUAUACUUUGCUGGGUCUUUUUUUUUUUUUGGUUUUCGUCAGUGAUGGGAUGUUCUAGUUCGAAGUUAGAGGAUCAAAAGGCCCUCCAAGGAAUAUUUUUGAGGUGAUUAGAGAGAUACAGGUUCAGUUUGUUAAAGCUUUUGAGUCAGGGAGUGAAAUUGUAAAGUUGCUUGCGGUGGGAACACUUCCCUAUCACCGAAAACAUGGUAAUGAUUUUCAUCAUUAUUUUACUGGAUUGUUGUGUUAUUUUACCUAUUUGCUCUAAUAGUAAUACUAGCUGCGGGGUUUGGUAACUUUUCUGCAACAGCUUCGAAGAUGUUGCAAGUAGUUACUCAUUCGUUAUCAUUAGUAUCAUCUCAUCCAUCUACUUCUAAGACUGAUUCAUCGGCUAAAAAUACUGAUCCGGCUUUUCUAGACUUCAAUGAAGAAUUGGCCAAGAAACAGAGAAACAUUUCCUCUACAUUGCAGAAGUUGUAUCUUUGGGAAAAGAAACUCUAUUAUUUUGCUUUUUUUGUAUAUUUUAUUUGUUAAUUUGAAGCCUUUAUGUUUCUCUUCAGUUCCUGGAAGAGUUUGAGUGGCUGUGAGAUUACGUCCACAUAAUGUAGAAGAGUUAGUAGCAGAUGCUGAUUUUGCUGAUUGUGUAGAACUUCAACCAGAGGUAUUAUGUUGCUAUCUGACAGUUGGAUAUGCAGGGAAUACAAUUCUCAGUGACCUUAAUUUUUUUAGAUGUCUUUAUCUACUUUCUUUUAUCUGUUUGAUCUUGAAGUACAAAUGAUUGAGGAAAAGCUAAGAGAAGGGCAUAUCGAUUAUAUUUUGUCAGGGUUGGCAUCUUGAGGGAUGCAUCAGCCUAAAAGUGAGUUUAUUCAAAUGAAAAUGGAGAAAAGUAGCAAAUUCUUGAAUAAUUAUCACUUCAUUUCAAUUAGUCAAGAAGGAUUUAGUUUCUAACCACCUAAGAAAAAGUGAAGUCGACAUGCCUGUACUUGUUCACGUAGCUCACCUAACUAGCUUUUAGAUUUAUUGAAAUUAACUCCCAUCCAGUUUCUGUAAGUGUUUAUUACUUGAUUUUGGUAAAGUUCUCACCAAUGCUUCAACUUUUCUCUUUCAGCUUAAAAGGUUAAAGCUUCGCAAAAACAACUGGGACACAGACACCUAUGAGUUUGAUGAAGCGCUGACAAAGUUUGCAUCGUAAAAACGUGUGUAUGAAGUUGUUGCAAAGCCAGUUGUUGAGGUUUGAGUACAGGGCUUUUCUAAUUGUACCAGAAUUUGUUAGAAUUUUACUUGUUAUUAGUUAUUCUUCCUUGGCAACAGCAGAGGCGGUGGCUGAAAAUAGUUUCAACCUAUCAUUGUGUUUUGUGUCGGUCUUCUCCCAAGUUAUCAAUUGUUUUGUUCUGCUGUACAUAACUGCUGUGUUUGGUCAUAGCUUAUAAAGGAUUUGGUGCCUUUUUUGAUGCAUUAUUCAUUUUAUUAACAAGGUCAUUGUGUAUUUGUGUUCAUAGGGUGUUUUGGAUGGUUACAAUGGGACAAUCAUGGCUUAUGGUCAGACUGGUACUGGCAAAACAUAUACUCUUGGUCGACUUGGGGAGGAAGAUACAGCUAAUCGUGGAACAAUGGUCCGUGCUAUGGAGGACAUUUUGGCAGAAGUUUCACCAGAAAUUGAUUCUGUUUUGGUCUCCUAUUUGCAGGUUGCAUAUUAGAUAUUCUUUUCUAGGAGAUACAUAUUACUGCAGAUCUUGGUGUUUGAUUUCUGAUAUUGUCAUGAAUUGUGCUAAUUGGUCUAAGCUUACUUUUCUUUUAGAAUUUUUUUUUUAUCAUUUUCUCCAAAGUUACAAGAAUUUUAAAUUUUAAUGUGCCUAAUAGCUCUGUUCAUUGAAAAUUUUAAAUUUUCUCCAAAGUUUCUGCAUUCUUCCUGAAUGGGCCAUGUGCUAUAUUUUUGCAUUCUACUUUGUAUGCUUUAAUUAAUGCAGAUGAUUAGGCUUUGUAAUUUAGAUAUCACAAGGUUUGAUUAGAUUAAUGAAUUACUGCUAGGAGAACAACUAGUGCUGGAAAAAGAGAAGCAGCACUCUGUUCUGAACUAGAUCACAUAAACCUAAGACAUGAUUGUUCAUUUUCUCAUUUUCCUUGUCCUUAUUCUUGCUCUACAUUUCUUGUCUUUCCAGUUUAAUGUUGUCCUGCAUUGUUGCUAUUUUCUGCACUAAUAAUUGAUGGUUAUAUGUUUGUGAUUUUAGGUAUUGGUAAGACGUUCACGAUGCAACCAUUACCUCUCAGAGCUGCACAAGACCUUGUUAGAUUCUUGCAUCAGCCAAUUUACCGCAACCAGAGAUUUAAAUUGUGGCUUAGCUAUUUUGAGAUAUAUGGUGGCUUAGCUAUUUUGCUUGCUUACUUUCUGAGGCUGUCAAAGAACAAGCACUUGGCUGGUGAUUUCUUCAGCCUUGCUGACCUGAGCCACCUACCAUUUACGCAGUACUUGGUGGGUCAAAUGGGAAAGGAAUACAUGACAACCAACAGUAAGCAUGUGAGUGCUUGGUGGGAUGACAUUAGCAGCAGACCGUCCUGGCAGAAGGUUCUCCAGCUCUAUGCUCCUCCUUUCUAAGAAUUGAAAAUGAUGCAAUCUGGGGAUGGGGUCUUUUUAAUGAUGUCUGCUUUGUUGUUUAGCAGUUUGGUUUGGUUUGGGGUCUGGUCUUUGACUGUUUUAAGAGGCCAACUAGUUAUCCUAUGUUAGGUAUAGUUACAAUAAAAUGUUGGUAGGGGUAGGGGGUUACAGUUAUCGUUUUGUUUGCCUAUGUUUGAUAUUAUGAAUAAAGAUGAAGAAAUCAUGUAGAUAUCAAAGAGAAUCAAGUGCUCAAUUGAAUGUGCUUCAAAGGCAAUUUUUUUUUUUAUUUUCUAUGGUUUUAUUACUUAUUGAUUUUCUUUUUGUUGGUUUAAAUCUUCGAAAUAAUUGUCCAAAAGGUUUUGGUAGUGUUGGCAUUGGCAUUAAUAAAAGUUUGAGCUUACUAUGAGUAUAAUUUGAACCCAAAUGUGGUAGUGUUGGCAUUGGCAUUAAUAAAAAUUUGAGCUUACUAUGAAUCUAAUUUGAACUCAAAUCAUAUUUGAGGUGAUAAAUACUUUAUCCAUCAAGUUAAUAUAGGGUUCAAGUUAAUUAUGGUGUUUAUUUAUUGUUAAUAAUUUAUACAAACUUAUGAUUAUAAGUAGUGUAAAAAAGGUAAAUUAUUUACUAUGAUAUCAAACAAGUGAAGUGGCUUAAUAUAAGUUAAUAAUGUUUAUGCAGAAUAUAAUUCUCAAAUUAUAUUAUGAUUUUAGUAAAUUAUAUAAGAAUAUUUAUUAUUAAGAAUUUAUGAAAUUAUAUAUCAUUAUUAAAUUAUAUUUAAUAUUAAUUAUUUUAAAUUAUAUAAAUUCAUAUAAGAAAAUUUAUUAUCAAGAAUUUUAUGAAAUUAUAUAUUAUUAUUAAAUUAUAUUUAAUUAAAAUAUAACUUUUUCUUAGUAUAAGUUAAUUAUGUUUAUGCAGAAUAUAAUUUUCAAGUUAUAUAUUUAAUAAUAAUUAUGUUAAUUUAUAUUUUAUAGUAUCAUAUAUUAUGAUUUGAGUAAAUUAAUAUAAGAGUAUUAAUUAUUAAGAAUUUUAUUAAAUUAUAUAGUUUAAUUAAAAUAUAUUUAAUAAUAAUUAUGUUAAUUUAUAUUUUACAGUAUCAUAUAUUAUGAUUUCAGUAAAUUAAUAUAAGAAUAUUAAUUAUUAAGAAUUUCAUUAAAUUAUAUAUUUUAAUUAAAAUAUAUUUAAUAAUAAUUAUGUUAAUUUAUAUUUUACAGUAUCAUAUAUUAUGAUUUCAGUAAAUUAAUAUAAGAAUAUUAAUUAUUAAGAAUUUUAUUAAAUUAUAUAUUUUAAUUAAAAUAUAUUUAAUAAUAAUUAUGUUAAUUUAUAUUUUACAGUAUCAUAUAUUAUGAUUUCAGUAAAUUAAUAUAAGAAUAUUAAUUAUUAAGAAUUUUAUUAAAUUAUAUAUUUUAAUAAAAAUAUAUUUAAUAAUAAUUAUGUUUAAAUAUGAUUAAAUUAUUUAUUAUUGAUAAUAAUAAUCUUAUUAUAAUUUAAAUAACAAUAACAAUAAUCAUUUACCAAAACAAAUUUAUGCUAAGGGUAUUCUAGUCAUUUUAGUUUUUUCCAUUAUGCUAUUACACCUCUAUUCCAUUCAACCAAACACAAGAUUACUAUUACGCCUCUAUUCCAUUACAUUCAACCAAACAGUGGAUUAGCUAUUACACCUCUAAUCCAAUACACCUCUAAUCCCAAUACACCUCUAAUCCAAUAUAUCUCUAAUCCAAUACAGCGAACCAAACGCACCCUUAGUUCCUCUAAUUUUUAGAUUUUAAAAUUCAGGUCUAAUUGUUAAAUUUAUAAAAAAAAUAUAAGGAGUUAUGGGCAUAUUAUAACCUAUUGAAAUCAUCUACCAAAAUUAGCUGCUUCAUAAUAAUAAUACAUUCAUGGUGUAAGUGAAAAUAAAAUUAUGUGAUUUAUAAAAAAUAUAAAAGAUCAAAAACAUCCUUAAAAUAGUACAAUUCAAUUUGUAAAGUGAGAGUAUUUUUAUCUUCUUAAUUGAGUUGGUACAUAAUUAACCCGUAACACCAACUUAAUUAGGAGUUUUAUAAUAAGUACAGAUAGAUAAUAUCUGUAUCGGUUAUCUGUAAGUGUAAUAAAUUUUAUUUGAAUUGGAUUGAUUUAUAAUGAAUGUUUUGUAUAAUUCAUAUUAGCUUAAUUCAAUUAGAAAAGGAAUGACAUAACAUCAAAUUUAGCUCUCAAAAUAUUUAUAUUUUUUUUGUCAAAUUAAAUUAAAUUUGGACUUCAACCUUUUAAAAAAAGUCAAAUUUAAUAGAGAAUCUUUCAAAAAAGAGUAAAAAUAUUUUUUUUAAUUAAAAAACUGACUACCUAUAAGGCGAUUCGCAUGUACUCUAUGCUAUUUUUUAAAUUUUUUAAUUUUUUGAAUAUUUUUAUAAGCUUUAAACUAUUUAUUCACGUAGUAUAUAAGAUAAAUAUUGUCAUGUCAAUAUAAAGCAUAUGCAAACUACUAUGCGGGUUGCCAUGCCAACAUCAUUAAAAAAUUAAUAUUGUUGAUACAAUGGAUCAACAAGGGAGGAGACAAUGAGAAGAAGGUGAUGGGAGUUUAGAACGAUUCACCCUUGUAGAGUGGAGAAUGGUCAAUGGUAAAAAUGAGGAGAGAAAAUACGGAAAAAAAAAAUGGCCUUGGUGGCCGUAAAAUAGAAUAGAAGAAGAACCCCAAAAUAAGACCCAUCAUCUUACCCUAAUCCCAAUAAGGGUAGAUAUAUGGGUUAUUGGUGGAAUUUACAUUGCGAUCAAAAUGUUCAUAAUUUCGUAUGUAUUUCUGUUAAAAAUAGAGAUUUGAUUUUUUUUAAAGAUUAAUAAUUAAAUUUAAUUUAAAAAAUAAGAAUCAAAUUGAUAGAAAAUAUACAUAUGGCAUUAUACCAAAAAGAAUAAAUUAAAUUUUUAAAUAAAAAAAUUUAAAAGAAAAUAGUUUUAUUUUGAACCUGUCGGUCCGACCAAUUAAGUGAGUGUAGGAAGGGGGUUUGGUGGCAACAUCACAUGCAAAAAGCAAAAAAACUAAGUUGAAGAACUUAAUUUGAUCACAUUCAAAAUCUCUACAUACGAUUUGGGGGAUUUGUUGUUCAACAACAAAGCUAUGAUUUAUUUGUGACGUGUUCCAUUUCUUCACAUUUCACACCUUCCUUUGGAUUUCAUUAUAUUUAUUGCUUUCAUCUACACACCUCUUCCUCCUAACUGUUUUCUACCUUUGCCCUAUUUUUAUACAUUAUUUCUCUCUUUUUCCAUGCAUUUUUAACCUACUUUUGCCAUUUCCACAAUAUAUAAUUAUAGUCAAUCAUGUUUUAUCUUAAUUAUUAUAAGAAACGUUGAUAUUAACUGUAGAACGAUCGCAAAGUAAUAAGAACACACAAAUACGUAAAAAUCCUUUCGAGAAAAAAAUCAUAGGUGGAGGAAAAGAAAUUUAUUAAUGUUCAAAAACGAAUGAUAUAAGAGGGGUUUCGAUUACAUCUAUUUAAGAGUUGAAAAUCCCUUUUCUAAUCAAAGUCAAAUAGUAGAAGUAUAGUUCUAUACGGACUCAACUUGUGUAGCCUCUAGCCCCACAAAUCCUUUAUUUUGUAACAAGUGAUGAGAUUCGAGUCACACAAUCUCUAACAUUAAUAAUUUAUUAGAGUUUUAAUUUUGAAAUUCAAAUUGAUGUAAUUUCAUGUUAAAUUUACUACUUUUAACUUAAUUCAUUGCUUUACUUAGGGACUCAGCUAUAAAAUUUUGGUGUUCAAAGUUAAAAAAGAUUUGUAUAAUUUUUCGAAGGAAGCUAAAAUUGAAUAUUUUAAUUUUUAUGAGGUAUUUAAAAUAAUAAUAAUAAUUGUUGUUUGGUCAAAGCCCCUGGUGACACCCUUGGUUUUAACAUCAGAUGUAAUAAUUUCGACAAUUAGCCAUUGGUGUAAUGAAAAUGAACAUGUUAUAUCUUUGUUGACUUGAGGUUCUGGGUUCAUACAUGAAAACCCCAUCACUUAUCUCUUAUAAAAGAAAUGUAAUAAUUUGAUUUUAUGAUCUUAAUUCCCUUUAUUUAGUAUAAUUUCAACAUAAAAACCUUAUUUUUAUAUUUGUAUUUAUUCCCAAUUUGUCCUAAUAAAAUUGUUAUAUAUUAUUACAAAAAUUAAGUGGAUAAUCAAGUAUCUUUGUUCUUUAAUUACACUUACAUAGAUUUCAAAUGUUUAUUGAAUUCUUUAAUCAUAUGAUCAGAGAUUCGAUCUUUAUCUCGUGGGAAUGGAGCAUAUUUCAUAGCAAACCUUUAUGUGAUCGAAAGGUUUGAUUCCUGCUCAUAGAAAUAGAGCAUUUACUUCUUUGAAAAAUAUUUACAAUAAAAAAAUUAAUCACUUAUAUUAAUGAUAAAUACCCUGAUUAUAAUAAGAAAUUAAAAUGAAUAUUUUUAUUACAAGACCAAUCGCUUUCACUUUGAUAGGAACAAAUUCUUAAAAACCUCGAUUUUUUAAUAAAAUUAAAAAAAAAUAAAAAAGAAAAGGAUUGAAAAACUUUUUGACUUUAAAGUUUACACAUUUGUAUCGAACGUAAUGAAAGUGUAAAAAAAUUGAACGGAGUUUAGUCCACUACCAACGUACGGCUAAUGCACGGCGUAAUACUUGGCCCGAUGAAUGCGGUUUGUGGGUCCCACUUCUCUCCAUUUUGGUCUCUCUUUUUUCUGCCCUUUGAAAUUUGCCGUUUUUGUUUGUAGAAUCAAUUAUUUUGAAAAUAAUCCCCAAAUUAACGUCUGAAUGUAUAAUAAGUCUAAUAUUUUCCAAAUGCAUGCAUGCAUUAGCUGUUUUUAUUUGACCAUUUUCCACUUGUUUUUGUCCCCUAUUUUUCUAUAUUUUUUUCCUAUUUUUAUUUAAGCAUUAACUUUAUCUAAACAUAAUUAAAUAAUAAUUAUAAAUAAAGAUUAAAAUUUUAAACCCGACCCAAAAUCCUAAAUUCAAGAGUAAUUAAUAUUUAUUUAUAAUAGUUACGGUUAAUGUUUAAUUAUGUUUAAAUAAAAUUACUAGCAUUUAUUUACAAGUCCAUUUUUUUGUUUAAUUUAAUAAUGAUGUGUCGUAUUAUUAUUCACUAAUGGUGCAUGAGACUUAUACACUGAUGGCACACCAAAUAUUUUACUAUACUCCUACAGGAUACUUAUCAGCUCAUUGCUUGUGGAAUUUAAAAACCUACUGAUAAUGUAUCAAAUAUUUUCCCUAAACCUUUACCGAAUAAUAUCCAAAAACUCAUAAAAUAAAAUCUAUUUUUGUAAAAAUAAGCACAAAAAAAUCAAAAUCUAGAUUUAAUAUAAAAAAUCAAAUCAAAUUAUCAUAAAAGAUUAAAAAAUAUAAAAAAAUCCUUAUUUUCAAUAAAUAAAGUUAUUUAAAAAAAUCAAUUUAUAGAGAAAUUUGUGGGUAGAUAAUCCCUUGAUUAGAGCUAUUGUAAUUAGUGAUCUUAAUUAGAGCUAUCUAAAAAAAAGUUAUUAUACUAUUUGGUACUUAUGUUUAGUGUUAAUGUUCAAUUUGGUAUCUUAGUUUUCUUUUUCUAAUAUGGUACUUAAGUUUGGCUUUAAUGUUUAAUUUCAUACCCACGCCAAUAGACAUAGAUACUUAAUUCGAACAAAAAAAUUUCAGGUAUUGAAUUCAAUAUUGAAGUUAAACUCAUUUAUUUAACUAACACAAAAAAAAAGUAUUGAAUUGAAAAAACUCAUGUACCAAAGUGAACAUUGAAGAUAAACUCAAGUAUCAAAUUGAGAAUUUAAAACAAUCUUAUUAUAAGUUCUGCUCAUAUUUGCUCUUUUUGACACAAUAUCUAAAAUUAGGCAUAGCCCCACCUCAACCCAUAAGUAGGAGGAUAACAAGCUUUAGCGCACUUAAACCCAUGUCUUUCUACAUUAACAACAAUUCUCAAAUCAAUUGAGUUAAAGCUCGAUCAUCAAUACGAAACGUGAAAUAAUAUAUGAACUUAAAAAGAAUAAUAGCAUAAUUAGAAGCAAAUCUAUCCGUACAAUUGUUGACCCCACUUUUCCCUCCAUUUCAAGCUUGGAAAGAAGGAACAUGGAAUAAAUAAACAAAAGAAAGGUAGCAAGUAGGCAAAGAAGUGUUCUACAAUUGAUGGCACAACUUGUAGCUAAAGCAAAGCAAUUUUCAUAUAGCCCCAAAGUUCAUAAUUCCACUCUACACCCCUUGCCUUUUCAUCAAAUCGCUCACUUUUUUUGUUAUAAUAAUUGUUAAGAUACAAGGAUAAUUAUGUCAUUGAAAAAUAUAUUGUAAGAUAAAUCGCAAUAUAAGAAUAACAAAUAAGUUGUCAACGAGGUACUAGUUCAGUUCGUACCGAGGAUGUUGAAGACUCUUGAAAUAAAGGUGAUUUCAAAAAUAAAUUUAGGGGUCUAAAAUUGAAUUAUAAAUUAUUAAGAUGUCAAAUAUAGAUUUUAUUAUGUAUUAAUUUAUUAUUUUAUCUUUUUGAAGAGAUUAUAUAGAAUAUUUUUUAUUUUUGGGAGACCAAACCAUAAUUUUCCCAUAUAUUAAUUUAUAAUUUGAUCAUUCAUAAAGGGGCUAGAAUUGCCUACCCCCUUGUAUGUGCCCUUGCUUGAAAGAUGCGGAUUAGGGUGAAAUAUCUCUAUUAAUAUUGAAUUUUUUAUCGAGUUUAGUGUUACGAGUUAAUCAGAUACCAGUUUAAUUAGAUAAUAACAAAAAUAUCCUUAUUUUACAAUGUAAAUUAUAUCUCUACUAACAUUAAACUUUUUCUAGAGUUUGGUGUCAUGAGUCAAUUAGGCAUUAAUUUAGUUGGAAAAUGACAAAAAUACCCUUACUUUGCAAAGUAAAAUAUAUUAUUUUGAGGGUAUUUUUAUCAUUUUAUAUCUUUUAUAUAGAAAAAUAAAAAUAUAAACAUGUGAUAGGGUUCCAACACAAAUCUAUAGGGUUCCAACCCAAAUCUAUAGUUUUUAACAUUUGUAGUUUACCAUUUAUAACAAUUUUUUAUAGAUAUAUUAUUAUAUAAUCCUAUUUUUCACUUAUAUUGUUGGUGUGCUAUAAUCAAAGAAUUUAAAGGUAGUUUUAAAAAUGUGUAGAAGGAAUAAUAUUUGGUAUAUUGUCAGUGAAAUUUUUAGACUCCACAAAUAGAAUUAGGGAGUUAACAAGUGUCUUAUAAGAAUAUAGUAAAAUAUUAAAAACAUAUAUUUAAAAAAAGAAGAAGAAAAAACACAUGAUAAUUUUUUAAGCCUACUAUGAAAUAAAAAAUGUACAUUUUAUCAGUAAAUGUUGGGUGCAAUGGUAAGUCACAUUGUAUUCCCAAGAAGAGAUACAUGUUUAAACCUUAGAGAUGACAUUGUUAGAAGGGACAGCUAUGAACCCCGAACAUGAACAGUAAAACGGAUAUAAAAAAUGAGAUUAUAAUUAAAUGGAAAAAGAAUUGAAAUUAAAUGGGUUACCGCCAAGAUGAAACUUGAAAGAGUAAAAGAAAAAAAAAAAAGGGAACUCCAUUGCUGUAAUUUGCCGUAAUUAACUAGAGACCAAAAUUGCACUAAUUAAGGAGAUAAAAUGAUAAUCUUUGGAUCUGCAAAAAUUUUCAACUUUUUUGACAGUGUUCAUAUCUUCCCUUUUUUUUUCUCUCUCUUCCACUCCAUAAAUAGCAGUUCACACUCCACCCUUAACCCAUUCAAACCUCCACUCAUCCUUUAGCUGUUUCCCUCUGUUUCUUUAGUCAAAGUAUACAAUAUGGCAAUUUGGGUUGAUACUUGCUUGGUUUCAUUGCUUUUCAUCAUUGUUGCUGUUGAAGCUAGAAUUCCUGGUGUUUAUUCUGAUGGUGCUUGGCAAAGUGCCCAUGCCACUUUCUAUGGUGGCAGCGAUGCUUCUGGCACAAUGGGUACUUUUUUAUUUCUCAAAACGAAGAUGAUUUUGACUUCACAAUCUGACCUUUUUUUUAAUGAUUUUUUAGGUGGAGCUUGUGGCUAUGGAAACUUAUACAGCCAAGGCUAUGGUGUCAACACAGCUGCUUUGAGUACUGCUCUUUUCAACAAUGGGUUCAGCUGUGGUGCCUGUUUUGAAAUCAAAUGUGUAAAUCAACCACAAUGGUGUCAUUCUGGUAGUCCUUCAAUUUUCAUCACAGCAACCAAUUUUUGCCCUCCAAAUUACGCUCUUCCAAAUGACAAUGGCGGAUGGUGUAACCCUCCUCGUCCUCAUUUUGAUCUCGCCAUGCCAAUAUUCCUUAAGAUUGCUGAGUACCGUGCUGGCAUUGUCCCUGUCUCUUAUCGCAGGUAAACAAACAAAAAGUCUUCCUUCCCCUUUUUUUUUCCCGAGAAACAAACAGAUAUAAUUACAUUUUUUCUUUUUCUUUUUUGUUAUUCUACAGGGUUGCAUGCCGUAAGAGAGGUGGAAUCAGGUUCGCAAUCAACGGUUUCCGUUACUUCAACUUGGUUCUUAUUACCAACGUGGCAGGCUCUGGUGAUAUCGUGAAGGCAAGCGUUAAAGGAUCGAAAACAGGGUGGAUGAGCUUGAGCCGAAACUGGGGCCAAAACUGGCAAUCCAAUGCCGUAUUGGUCGGCCAAUCUUUGUCUUUUAGGGUCACCGGCAGUGACCGUAGGACUUCUACUUCAUGGAACAUUGCUCCUUCCAAUUGGCAGUUUGGUCAAACCUUCACAGGAAAAAAUUUCAGGGUCUAAAAUAUGAAGGGGUGGGAGAGUAGUUGGGUUACUUUCCUGGGAAAAUGAGGGAAAGUGUGUGGUUAACAUUGUUUUGACAGUGGGGAAAAUUGGGUUUUUACUUGUUUAUCUAAUGGGGCUAUUUACUUUUAGGUUUUACUUUUUUUAUCUUUGGGGUGAAAAGGUGAGAGAGGAUAAAGGUUAAAAAAAGUGGAAUGAAAUGGGGGCUGAAGUGGCUUGGAAAGAAGUUGUAGCCCGCAGCUUUAAUACUUUUUCUUUUUCUAUAUGUUACAUAAGUUGAAUUUAAUGAAAGGAUGGUCUUAAUUUACUAAUUGUUUCUUGUGUACUUGCUUUUACCUUAAUUUUACGUACAGAUUAAGAUUAAUGUUUUCGGAAUUUAUUGUCAAUUCUUAUCUGCUUGAAUGAUAAGUAAAAUUUUGACUUAUAAUUUUGUUGAGGUUGAAAUUAGUACUAAUUUUUUACUCCUAUUUAAAAGUAUAUCUCUAAUCUAAACUCAAUAUAAAUUGAAGAAGGUUAAAAAAGUAAUCAAAAUUAAUCUAAAAUAAUAUUUUAUUAAGAGAAAAAAAAAGUGAGAUUGGUAAUGAUACAAAGGUUUCUUCAUUGUAAUCUGCUAUAGCCGAAAGAGGGUUAUUGGAUUCCUAAUGUAACAUGCAAUAUUUGAAUGUCUUUUUCUUGACUACCUAAGGCUAAGAUCAAGAAUUAGGAGAGCAUUGGUCUCUAUUUCCAUUUCACUUUUGUUCUGGUUUUUUUUUUUUUGACUUGAUAACAUGUACCAAAGUCUUAUCUCAAGCUGUUUUUUUUGUCUCAUCUUCUUUCUUUAAAAUUUAACAUUUAACGACAAAAUAAUUACAAAAAGUGCUCAUGGUCACUGAUAGCAAAUUUACUUUGCUGCAACCCUUUUUAACACUCCCAAUUCUCCAAUUCAACGACCUUAAUUGGAGUACAUUCAGUUUAUAAUUUGAUUGGUAUGUGUAUUGUUUUCUAAUUUAGGAGGAUGUGGAUUCGAGUGAGCUGAAGCGUAUUAUCUUUUUAUUUAUAGAUUGAGAAUGGGCUAUGGUUAGUUCUAUAUAUUAUGUCAAAAAGAACAGAUAUGAUCAGAGCCUAAUUUGAUUUAGUAAGGUAGCUAUUUGGUGUAAAAAGAAUAGUGGCAAUAAUAUUAUAUUAUUUGGAUAGAUAAAUAUAAAAAAUGGAUAAGUAUAAAAUUGUAAUGGCUUAAAUUCAAUGUUAUCGGAACAGUGGUUUCGUAACCACAAAUUUGAUUUAAAGAGAAAUUUAUUUCAAUAUUUUUGCUUAAAAAUUUAUAUGAUAGGAAAAUCGUAUGAAAAUAUUGAUAGGAAAAUUUUAUCAAUUUAGUGAUUAGUUAGAAAAAGAAAUUAUUGAAGAAAUUGGGUAAAAUAAGGUAUCGGGACCUCUAUCUCGUAAAACUGAGUCAAAAAUAAUUUUAUAAAUAUUUAUGAAAUGUUAUUAAUGUGGUAUUAAAAUUUCGUUAGGAAAUUUUAAUGUUUGGGUAGUCAAUUAAAUGAAAAGGACUGAAUUGUAAUAGGUGUAAAAGUUGCUAGAGUGAUUAAAUAGCUUAUUAGUCUAAUGAGAAAGGAUAUAAAAGGCAAUUAGACCCAAAAUUUAUUUGGGAUGGACGGCAAGGGUAUGAAAUCAGCAGAAAAAUUGAUAAAUUAAGGGUAAAAUUGGAAUAUUGCAAAAUUAACUAAAUAAAACUAGGACUAAAUAGGAAAUAUCUAGAUUUUUCUUCAUUUCUCUUCAAUUCCAGCAGCUAAAAAUGCCAUAGGAGGGUUCUCUAAGCUGGUAUUUCAUAAUUUUUGCACCAAGUGAGUUAAUCCUUGCCUUUUUCUUGUAAUUUUUGUGUUUCUAAGACUUUUACAACUAGAUCCUACUAUUAAAUUCAUUAGUUUUUGAUUUCAUGGAUGAAAUUUAAAGUCACAAUGGUUGAGUUCUGUAAGUUUAUGAUGAAAUAGAAUGAAAUUAAAGCUUUAAUUUGUUUAUGAGAUGAUUUUAUUAGGCAAUUUCAAUGGAAAUUGAUUUUUGGGACCUAAUUGUGAAAAUGUUUGGAAUUAAAGUCUAUUGCUGAAAUUCUGAUUUCUAAAGGUUGUAAAAUAGUUUAAGGUGAUAGAAUAAAAUGUUAAUUGAGAAAAAUCAGCUCAAUUGAGAGGCUAAUUGAGUAGGGAUGAAAUUAUCAUUUAUUAAAAGUUUAGGGGAAAAAUGGUAAUAAACAGCUUGAACUAAAACAGUUUGGACAGCAGCAGUAGACUAACUUUGAAAAAUCACCAAAAAUUGUAGGAAUCGAAUUAGAAGAUGAACAAAAUAUAGAAUUAAAGCUUAUUGAGUCUAGUUUCUCAUAGAAGAAAUAUUGUAAGCAAUGGAUUUGUAAAUUUUGAGAUAUAAUGAAUUUUGUGAGACAAGGUCAGAAUGAAUUCGGGUUCCCCUGUUCUAACUUUGAAAAAUUAUAAAAAAUUGAAUAAAAAUAAUUAGGGACUUAAAUUUAUAUGUCUAGAAUUCUGAAUGAGUCUAUUUUUAAUAGAAACAAACAAGAACAUCAUUUGAAUUCUGUAUAAAGAGAUAAUUUAUUUUUAGUGAAGAAGGGUCAGAACUGUUAGACAACAGAACAGGGGUGACUUUGAAGAAUAAAAUGUACUGAUUGGCUAAACCAAAAAUUAUGAAAAUUUUAUGGUAAAAAUAUAUAUGAGUCUAGUUUCAGGAAAAAUUAACGGAUCUUAAUUUGGAGUUCCGUAGCUCAAGUUAUAAAUAAUUUAGUGACUAUGACUCAAGUAGACAGCUUUGAAUGAACUAUAAAUAAUAGUUGAAUUAUAGAGAAUGUUGCAUAUGAACAUGAAAUGUAUUAAAUUGAUAACUAAAUUUAUUUAUUUAGAUCCAGAAGAUUCAAAUACGAAGCUAGAUCGAGGAAAGGAAAAAGUUCGGGAUUAAUAGAUUUUUACUGUUUACAAACAAGUAUCAAGGUAAGUUCAUGUAACUUGAAUUAUAUUCUUAAAUGCUUGAAAUGCAUGUUUUUGAUAUGAAUAUGAUUUGAAUGUUCAUUGUAUGAAAAUUUAUGAAACAUUGAUAUAUUUGAUAAAAUGGGAAGAAAUCCCGUUUGAAUGAAAGGAAAAUUCGAUGGAUCUCUGAAAAGGAAUUGACGGUAAAAAGGAUCUAGCCCGGACGGGUGAUCCUAUCCUGAUAUAGCCCUCCCGAAGAAUAUGUGUAAAAUGGAUUUAGCCCGGACGGGUAAUCCGAAUUAGGGUCUGAAUUUAGCCUGGACUGGUAAUUCAGAUCCAAGCUCAUUAGAGUAAUUGUCGUUGCAGGGGAUUUAGCCUGGACUAGUAAUCCCGACAAUACUCUAUGAGUUUAUAUUGCAAGGGAUUUAGCCUGGACUGGUAAUCCCGCUGCAAGGUUGAGGUUCGCGGGAGUGUGCUCUCUGAAAUGGAAAUGUGCGCACAUGAAUAUGAAUUGACGGACCCGGAAUUGUACACUAAAAGUGUAACUCUGAAAAUCCAUCGAAAUUCUGAUAAAUUCAACGGGAUAAAUAUGAAAAAUAAUAAGGGAAUGAAAAUCAUGGUAUUGAUGAGUACAUCAAUCAUGGUAUAUAUAUAUUAUUGAUACAUGGAAAUUAUUGUACUAACUUGAAUGUUGAGUUUGUGCAUGUUAGGGUAAUAAUGCAUUGAAUGGAUAUAUGAAUGUUUAUUAUAUUGUAUUGAAAAUAUUAGGUAAGUAUAAUUCUUGUUACAUGAGCUUACUAAGCACAAAGUGCUUACCCCGUUACCUUUUUCCCUGUUUUGUAGUGUUAAGAGCUUGAAGGUCGGAUUUGGUCGGAGACACAUCACAUUGUCAACCUCAGGAUUUCGGUAUAUAAAGAAACUUUAUUUUGGAAAUCAAUGGCAUGUAUAAGCUAACAAAGUAAAUGUUAACGUGAAAUGAAUGUAAAGUUAGCCAUUAGUAUGGUUAACAAACCUGGUUAUAGAUAUGUGAUAACGUUAUCUUAUAUAAAUGCAUGAAUCUAUCAUGAAAAUAUGUUGAAUUGAAAAAAAAAAUUAAUUCGUAAACUCCGGUAAUGCCUCGUACCCUAUUCCGGCAAUGAAUACGGGUAGGGGUAUUACAAAAAUAAUGUUUUUACUCUUAAAUUAACAUAAAUAAUAUUUUAUGUAUGUUAUUAAUAGAUUAAAUUACACUUAAGGUCACUAAACUAUUAGUAAGUUUAUAUUUUGGUCACGUGACUUCAGAAAGUUAUAAAAUGAUCAUUGAUCUAUUUGAAAGUUUUUAUUUAAGUCACUAGGCUAUUAAGUUUUUUUAAAAUGGUCCGGCUAGUGAGCUUCAAGCGACAAUUUGAUGAUCGGUACAAUGGAUCAAUACCCAAUAACAUACCUUAAAUCCAAGUCGAUCUAACAGUUAAUGUCGGAGACCAGAGAAGAAAACUAUUUGGAUUUUGGUUUGCAAAUUUAUGACAUUCAAAGUUAUUUUUAUGAAAAAAGCUUAAUUGCAUAAGAGAAGGAGAAUAAGAGCUUUUAAUUGGUACAUGUGGUGCAAACAGAAAAAGCCAUACAAUAGUAAUUUUAACAAUCCAAUGACUUAAAUGAAAAUUUUUGAAGAAUUUAAUGACUUUUUUAUAAUUAUUUUUAAAUUAAAUGACUAAAACAUAAACUUACUCAAAUUUUAAUGACCUUAAGUAUAGUUUACCUUCUUUUCUAUUUAUAUGACAUUUACUUUCUAUCACUUUUGCUAGGUGUGUUGACUUGAUCACAUGUAAUGAAGUCUCAUGCUUGAACUAGCUUCUUCUUUUUUUUGUUAAUUUUAAUUUUCUAUUCAAUAAUUUUCAAUUAAUAUUAAUAAAAAAUAUUUAAUUAUAAAAAUAUUUUAAUUAUUAUUAAAUUAAAUUAUAAAUUAUUCAUAUGUUAAACAUAAUGUAUUUUUAAUUUAUAUAUGUUAGUCACAUUGUAAUUACAAAGAAUAGAUCCAAAUAAUUAUAAUCAGAAUUAAUCAUUAUAAAGCACAAUUAGACAAAUAAUAAAAAUAUAUCUAAACCUAAAAUAGAAUAAAUCUUAUAUUUGGACCUAAAUAUAGUGGGACAUAAAUUAGAAUAAAUAUAGACUAAGAAAUCACAUCAAAUUUACACAGAAUAAGACUCGAGCUUGGGAUCCUGAAUUUCUCAAAGCCUUAAUCUUAUCCAUUAAGCUUUACACAGAAUAAGUGGACAUAAUUGAAACCAUAAGGAAACUAAAUGUAUUUUACACUAAAUAUAAGGAAGUAAGUAUCUUUUACCCUACUCUAUAAUUUACCCUUCUUUAUACCCUUUUAUUCAGGUUUAGGUCGAACCUAAUUAUGAUAUUAAUAUACUUUAUGUUUACCUAAGCUUGGCUUAAAAUAUGAGUCUAAAAUUUUGUUCAAGCCCACCAAUAUUAGUAAAAUACUAACCCAAGCCCAUUUUAGACCCACUCAUAUUAUUUUUAAAUAUUUUAAAAAAUAUUUAUAUUAUUUAAUUUAAUAUAUAAUAAUUUUAUAAUUUUAUAAUUAUUGAUUUUUUAUAUAGUCAUUUAAUAUUAUUUUAAUAUUUACAUUAGAGUACUAUUAUAUAUUUAGUACAAGUUUAUUUUUUUUAAUAUGUUAUAAAUUACAUAAUAUAUAAAAAUAACAUAAUAUAAAGUACUAUAAACUUAAAAAUAGGUGAGCUCGAAUUCAGGCCUUGAAUGUUCAAACUCGAGCCCGACUCUUAUUUUAAACAGGCUUAAUUUUUUUUGCCCAAACUUAUUUUUCGAGUCUAAUAUUUUUAUCCAAACACUAUCAAAUUUCGGCCAGGCCUUCGAGCCUGAACGAAUAGCCUUGUCCAUGAACAAGUUUAGUGCCAGGCACGCUUGAGGCGUUAAAACCUUUAUUUAACCUAAGGCGCAAGGUGCAAAAAAAGGUAAUCGUCUGAAUAAACCAACGCAUAAGCAUAUAAAUAUAAAUAUAAAUAUAUAUGUAAAAUGUAUAUAUAAGCAUAUAUAACUAAUAUCUAUAAUUAUUUAGUAAAAAUAUAAAUUUUAAUACAGUUGAGUUUAUAAAUUCAAAAUAUUGGUGAAUAAUUUAAGUCUAAUAAUUUACUUAAUUUAUUGUAUAACAAAACACCAUAAAAACAUAAUGCUCUAAAUUUCCUUCAUCUUCAUCUUCUCUUCAAUCAUAACAAUUUACAUCUCGUUCUGCUUCAAUAUCGUCAUCUUGGUCAAAAGUAGGUUAAUUUGAUGCACUUGACCUCAAUCUCAUUUGCACUCUAGCACAAUGUUCCAACACCGGCGACACUAACAACCAAACCCCAUGUCAAUUCAUCUUCAUCAAAUACUAAGUCAUCCUCGGCAUCAUUUGAAGUGUGUUCACCCAUCUUUCCAAUUAGCUCAUUCAUUACCUUCAUCAAUGUCUUCUAGUGAAAUAAGAUUAUGCAAGGGAUGAUGCAUGAAUGUUGCUGAAUGCUUCCAUGAUUGUUUCCUUCGCUCUAUCCAUGGUCGCCUUGUAUAUAUAUAUCCCAUGGCCGCCUUGUUUUUUCAUUGUCAAUAAGUCAGAGAACUCGAACUAAAGGACUCAGCCUUGAGAGUGAUUACCACACCAUUCCAAGGUGAUGGCAUUAGAAUAGUUUUAGCAACUUGUUUAGCCUUUGGAUCUUUGACACCCAAUUUUGAGAAAUGACCAUGGUUUUGAAAUGCAGAUGCAUUCUAAUGUGAGAUAAGAUGUGCAAAAACGAGUUUUACUCAGACCAGUUCCCUUACUUCGUGAACUCUCUCAUCAUGUUUAGCAUGACUGUGUGGUUAUUAAUAAACUUAUUAGUGAUGGCAACUGCUCUUUCUAAAGUCUUAGAGACUUAAGAAAGCUUGCCAAUAUUUUCUAAAAUGAGAUCAAGACAGUGUGCAUCACAUGGUGUCCAAUAUAGAUGUGAUCUUUUUGCUUGUAGCAAUUUACUUGGAAGUAAUAUCUGCACAAACUUACUAGCCAUGACGAAGUUACUUGCAUUGUCUGUAAUUACUUGGAAGACAUUAGCUUCUCCUACAUUCUUCCCAAAAGAAUCCAACAAUUCAAACAUUUUAUCUCCCAUUUUUUUACAUAUGAUGAACUUAACAAUUGAUCAAAAAUUUAUUAAGCUCCUGCCUUUCUUAUUCGUCUAUCCAUCUGUCAUAAUAAAACACCCAUGCUUCACCUAAACACAUUCUUGAAGCAUCUAGUUUCACGAUAUUAAAUGAAUUUCCUGCUUGGUAGAAAAAAACAAGCAAUAUGUUGACACGCUUCUUAUCUCAUGCAUCUAUAAUGUUUAAUUGCUUUCGAGACUGAAAAGUACUUUCUCUGGCUUUUGAGAGAUGAACGAAUCCAUAGGAGAAUUCUCUUUGUUAAAACAUGGAAGUGGUCACUUGCCCUUAUGAUUUCCUUUUAUCUUCUUCAUCAAUUUCCACAAUAUUGCUAAACUCAUUAAAAUUCAAUAACUUAUCAUAUAUUUUAAAUUUUUUUCUCAUUCUUAUAGGACAAAAGCUCCUUUCUCACAUUUAGUAGAGUCUUCAAGCACGACUUGGCAUUUCUAUGAUUAUUGACUUGAUGUUGUUUGGCUCGGAAUAUGCCACCUUUAGUUGUCUUUAUGACAAAACAUGCAAGUGGUGGUAUUCGGAUCUUUCGAAUUAGCCAAAAAAACAUAUUAAUUGCAGGUGGCUACCUGACACCUCCAAAGGGUAAGAAAUCAAACAAGGAUCCCCUAGAGUAAGUCAACUAGUUCAAAUACCAAAAACACAAUUUGCAAAUAGCAACAGAGCAACUGUAAAAAUAAGGGGUGAAAAGUAUGAUGGGAAUAGGAACAAAGGAAAAAAUAUUGGUAAAUUGGAUAUGGUGUUACUCGACUCGAAAAGGGUUGUACAGGACUCUAGGGUGCUGAACAAUGUGAUUCACACCAAAAGGGUAAUGGGCUCUCUUGAUAUAGGCCUUGCACUUACGACUGGAACUCCAGACUACCCAUUUCAAAUAUUUCAAAGGUGGAUCCAUUAAAAGACAAAAAGUCUUUGUAUUCAGGAUGGUGAAGGCCCUGUAAAAGACGUUGCAUGUCCAGAUAAUGAACUUCUUUCUACUUCUGUGCUCUCUUACUUGCUAAACUAAUUGUUGUUUAAAAGAACAAUGGCAAGGAGAGGAAUGUAAGGCGAUGGCAAUGGGAAUCUCUUUGGAGGAGAGUAAUGAACCUAUGAUGUGGGUAUAGGAACAGAUGGGGGAAAACAACCCAGUGCAAGAUCAGGUAUCCUCAAACAUGAGGGGGGAUCAAAAUAGACUAUUAAGGGGACCCCAAGGAAGCUCAAGGAGGCGGGGAAGAACUGAUGGUAUCUCCCCGUGCUAGUUACAACCAGAGAGAAGUUCAAACGUAUUGUCAAACCUAAGAAGCUGUCCAGUGGAUGCACGAGGCCAUUUGAGACGAUUCUAAUAUUGGUGCCGCCUAUGUGGCCAUCUCCAAUACAACCCUCCGCAUCAUCGUCUCAUGAGAACCAGAUGCCUGGAAUAAUGUGAGGGAGACUCAAUGGUUUAUCGAAAUCCUCCGUUACCAAUGAAGACCAUGAAGUGUUAUUAUAUCCUCAUCAAUUUUUAUAAAAAAAUAUAUCUCAUAUCUUAAAUAUAUUGUUGACUUUUAAUACUUUGCCUUGAGGUUUGGGCAAUGUCGGUGGUUUUAAUGCAAAAGUGACGUUCAUAUAUGCGUCUACACAUUAACUGAAUUAUUAUUACUCAAUGUCUAAAAAAACUGUUAAUUGUGGAAAAAAUGCUUGUGUGAUAUAAAAUUUUUGAGUAAGAGAUACAGAUGAUGUCUAAUUAGUAUUUUAUAUAAUUCUUUCCCUUAACGACAAAGGGUAAAUAUUUGAGGGUAAAAUUUUGCUAUUAGACCCUGUAAUUUGCGUAAAUUAUAGAUUUAAUAUAUGUACUUUAGUUUGGUCAUUUUCAAUCUAUGUGCUUUUAGAAUUUAAAAAUUUUAGUCUUGACAUAAUACCAACUAUUAAAUUCGAUAAGUUUUAUUAUUUUUAAAAUUUACUUAACACUUUUUUGUUCAAGACUUUGUAUUAAUUAAAAAAUUAAUAAGAUUAUCAAACACAUUUUAAAAAACAAUUGAAUAUUGAAAAUUUUCAUUUCAAUAAAAUGAGAAUUUUCAUAAUUUAUCAAACACAUCCUGUUACACGGUACGUCGAUAAUGGCAAUAGAAAUAAUCACAAAGCAAUAAGAAAGGAAAAUAAAAACAUGUCGAUUUUAUGUGAAAAACUCUCAUCUCAUUGGGAAAAACCAUGUGUAGAAGAAGAGAAAUUCAUUAAUGUUGAAACAUAACAAUACAAGAGGUUUGCGACUAUGCGUAGUUUUUAAAGGGUUAAACAACCCGUCUAAAAGACGAAGUAUAGUCCUAUACGGAUUUAAAUUUGUCUCUUUAUUUUAUUUUUUUAACAAGUGAGUCGUACCAUGAACUUUUUAAGCCAGAUUAAACGGGAUCCGAGUCACAGAAUUCUAGCAUAAGUUCUUAAAUUAAAACAUAAAAGUAAAAAUAAAAAUAAAAAUAAAAGAGCCCUUGAAUAUUUUGAUAUAUUGAAACAAGAAGAAUGGAUAGGCUUAAAAGAAAAUUUAUUUCAUUUAUGAUACUUAACAAAAAUAUAUUAAAAAUUUACAAAAGAAAUGAUAAAUAUAUAUAUAUAUAUUUGAAUUAUAUUAAAAGAUAAAAAAACAAAAUGGAGGGGACAAAGAAACCUGGCAGUGGGAGGAUGGCCCCAAUAUCCAGGAGUAUUGUAUACAGUUGGUCUUCUCUGAACCUUUGAAAUUUCUUUCCUAUGAAUGAUUAAAGGCAAAGGUGCCUUUGGAAGGCAAUCAACUUUAAUGCCUUCACUUAUGUUUAUUGAGGUGAGCCACCCUUAUCUUUCCAUUCAACACUACCAAUCAAGAUGUAACCACUUGUUUUUCAUUAUACUGGUUAGAGUAUGUUUAAAUGCAUAUUAUCUUUUAAUUUAAAAGUUUAGAAGGUUAUAAAAAAUUAUAUUAAAAAUAGUUAAAUUUAGUCUUUAGUUUUUAUAUAUUUUGUUAAUUUAAUUCUCUUUUUUUAGUUAAAAUUGACUUUUUACUUUUUAAAAGAGGUUAAAUUUGAUCAUCAACUUUACAAAAUAGAGUCAAAUUAUUAUUUUUUUAAUGGAAAUACUGACUAAAAUAUUAAAAUUUAAACAUUACAAUCCACAUGUAUUUUGUACUAUUUUUUUAUGAAGUUUUAUCUAUUUUUAAAUUUUGAAUUCUAUUUAAUUUUAAAAUUAUUUAUUGACAUAACAUAUAAGACAAAUAAUAAAAUGUCAACAUGAAAUACUUGUGGGCUACCACACGGUUUGCUACGUCAACAUCGUUAAAAAUUAAUGUUUUAAUUAAUAUUUAACAAUUUGAUUCUUUUUGAAAGAUUAAUGACUAAAUUUAAUUUUAAGAAAGAUUAAUGACUAAAUUUAAUUUUAAAAAAGAUUAAAUUAAUUAAAAAUAUAAAUAUUAAAGACUAAAUUUGAUAUUUACAUUAUCCCAAGAAAUCAAAAGGUUUAAGUCAAUUUUGUUUUUCAUUUUGGAAUUUUAAAACAAUUGUAUAUUAAGUCAAUACAAGUGACAAAUUUACAUUACUUUAGUUAAAUUUAUUAAAAAAAGCCAUAAUAAUAAAAUAAAACAAAAACACAUUGACCAUAUAUUUAAUGUUAAUCCCAUUGAUAAAUGAUGAAAUGAUUGUAAUGUCAUAACCAUGUAAAAGAAGGUCAUGUGAACUGAUAGAAGGGCAUCAAUGUUAAAGGUGCUCCCUGCAUGAAAAGAAGUGGUAACCAUCAUGACUUAGUACACACCAAUACCAUAGGUGAGUACUCAAUAACUCCAACCUACUCCACCUCUACAACCCACUGUCACAUAACUUCAUAGAUUAACCUAAACUAAAAUACAUCAUCUAAUUUCAUAAGAAAUGAUAAAAAAAUAAAAGAUAGGAAAAGGGAUAGUGAGAGAGAAGGCAACAAAUAACUUGACACCACCAAAAAGCUUUAGAUUGGUUUUGCUAUCACACUCAACAACAAAAACACCUUUCCUUCCCCCCAAACCCCAAAACCUUAUAGGAAGAAAAAUGGAAGAGAAGGAAAAGAAGAAGAACAAGAAGCAAAAACAUCAACACCCCAAUGAUCAAACAACUAAAUCAUCAGGACCAGCAUCGGAUUUUUCAUUCAAGCCAAGCAAUGAAGUAAAGGGUCUAAGAUUUGGUGGACAGUUCAUUGUAAAAUCAUUCACAAUCAGGCGAGCAAGGCCACUAGAAUUACCCAAACUACUUGAUUUCCCACCGUUGUUGAACAAAAACAAGCAGCUUCCUUUCCCUACCACCACAGCUUUUUUACCUACAAAUUUCACCAUCUUAGCUCACCAUGCUUGGCAUACACUCACCUUAGGUCUCGGAACCAAGAAAUCCAAAGUGGUUCUAUUUGUUUUCGAAUCGGAAGCCAUGAAGUUGGGUGUAGAUAGAGUUUGGCCAUCAGAGAUCCCACUUGGUGAAGUCAACAAGAAGCUGAUAAGAGGGUUAAAAGGGUGUGAAAUGGCGAGGUUUAAGUUCAGGAAAGGGUGUAUUACGUUCUAUGUUUAUGCAGUUAGAGGGAUUGGAACUAUGGGAUUUUCAUGCGCUGACGAUUUGAGGAUUAUUUUGCAAUCAGUUGUGGCACUCAAAGAUUUCUUGGAUCAUACUGCUGUGCUUGCUAUGCCUAAUCAGAGAAGCCUUAAUUACUCCCCUCAACUUGCAAUGGCUCAUUAAUCUUUCAUUUUUCUUCUUUUGAUCUUUGUUUAGUUUUAUUUCUGGGGGGAGAUUGGUUUAUUUAUUGGAUGAUUUUUGUUCAUAUUAUUAAUUUUUUAUAUAUAUAUAUAUUUCAACAAAUUUGUAGUAUGAAUAAAUUUGCAAGUUCUUGUUCAACAGUUCAUGGGCAGAAGUUGCUGACUGGCAGCAGUAACACCACAUUUUUCUAAAUUAAAUCUGUUAUUUUAUAAUAUGCUUUUAAACAUGCUCGAAUUACAUUAUCCUAAUUAUUACAAUAAUAAUAACGCAUCAAAACUUGUUAAUUACACAACUCAAUCCAUCCAAAGUUUUCCUCAUUUACUUGGGUGAAUCUUGUGAAAAAAUUAGCAUAUACAUGUGGUAACAUUUCAAGGAUGUAAACUUGUCUGAUAUAUAUAUACUUAAAGUCUGAUGAUGCCGCAUGAAUCAUGAAUGUAAAUUUGGUUAUGAUAAUAAUGAUGGAAAAUAGGUGAAAUAUUGUAACGUAAUUUAUUUCCUCGAGAGAAAAAAGAGAGAAUUAGAAUGGUUUGGAUUCUUUUUGGAUUGAAAUGAUGGAAACAGAGAUGGGGACCCAAAGGCAGGGUUUUAUUAUGGUCUAAAAGUCAAAGAACAAGAAAAUGCUUUCCUUCUCUUUUUCUGAUUUGUUAUUGUGGGAUUAAUCAUGCCACCACUUUUGGUUUCCAUUUUUAAAUAUUAAAUUAAAUUCGAUGUUUAAGUUAAUAUUCUUUCUCUUGAAGUUGAAGUAUAUUUUAAUGUUUACUUUUUUUUUCGUUAAUAAGAUUUUGAAGUCACCCACGAUACAAAGAAAUUAAGGUAUUUAUUAAUAUUUUAAAAAUUAAACUGAUGGUCCAAUCAAUCAAAUUAUAAAUACUCAAUUUAAGAAAUAAUAAAAAAUUUAUAAAAUUUAUAAAUCAAUUCAAAGCUUACUGGAGUAUUAAAAUGUUUUGGUCUUUCAUAGCUACAAAAGGACUAGGCCCAUCAACGUUGAGUAAGUAGACUGGAUCCAUUAAGCUGAGGUAUAACAACUAUAAUUUAGUUCACGACUCGUGCACUUUUCGUAUAAGAUAAAUCUUAAAAUUAUAUAUAAGUUUUAAUUUAAUAUAUAAUAUAAUUAUAUAUAUUUAUUUUACUGUCUUUGUUCGAGGUUCAUAACUGUCCCUUACAAUAAUAUUAUUUUCAAAGUUUAAAUCGAUGUCUCUCUUAAAAAAUGUAAUGUGCCUUAUCAUUACGUUCAAUAGUUAUUAGUAAUAAAUUUAUCUUUCAUUUUAUGUCAUUUAGAAAGUAUCAAAGAGAGAAGAAUGUACUCUUGAGCAUGCCAAGUACAUAGGUGAAAUUGCUUCGGUUAUGGUUUUGUAAAGAUUGUGAAUUUAUGUCUUCCACGGGAUUGAUGCUGCUUGGACAGAAAAAUGAUGGUUUCUGCUUUAGAGGGUGAUACAAAUGAUGAGAACAAAAUCCUUAGAAAACAACAUUGUUUUUAGAAUAAAUUCAGAAUAAGAGGUUGGAUAUUGAUUAAUUUGUGAAUCGGUAAGAUCGGUUAAAUAAAUUUUUUUAUUUUUAAUAAUAUAUUUAAUUGAACCAAAUAAAUUAAUUAAACCAAAAAUUGAUAGUGUGAUCAAUUUUUAGAAUUGAUACAAUUUUAAAAACCUUGCAAAACAAUAAUCUAACAAGCAUGUAUCCCUUGGUGUCCUACAACUCUAACCACUAGUGCUCUCAAUAAAAAGUAAAAAUUGUAUAAUUGUAUAAUAAUUUUGUGAAAAUUGAGAUUAAAAAUUAUUAAAAGAAUUAAAUUUUUUAAGAAAAAUAAAUUCUAUAAUUUAAUAGAAUGUGCUUCUAGAUAGGGGCUGGUACGGCCUGACCCCCUAAAAUUUUAAAAAAAUUAAAUUAAUAAAAAUAAAAUUACAUUUUAGCCACCUAAAAAUGAUAAAAAAUUAAUUUAAUUAAAUAAAAAUUAUAAAGAUAUGAAAUUGUAUUUUUACUAUAGUAAAAAUUAUAAUUUAACUUUGACCCUCUUAAAUAAAUUUUCUAACUUCGUCAUUAUUUCUAGAUAAUCUUACAUUCCAUCAACCCUAAAUCUUAAAUUCCAGCCAAAUAAACUUAAAUAAUCUCCAUCUUCCAUUUCUUUAAUCCUAUUACGAGGGUAUUACUAGUUGAACAAAAAAACAAAAAUUUGGGGUUAUUUUCUUUCAAUCAGAAUCUAAACUGUAUGCAUAUUCAAAUUUCAAACGAAUAACAAAAUGGGGCAAGCAGUUGAAGCUUUUAAAUGAAGAGAAAAAGACAUUUCAGUUCUUGAAAUCCAUCCAUUCUCAACCUAUUAAGGAUUCAAAUUCAAUCACAGCCACCAAUCCCGGCUAAAAAUUGUAUGGAAAUAGCACUUUCAAUAUCAUUACAUUUUAUAAUUUCGCAGGUCAUUUUGUAUUCACAUCAUUGUCAUUUGAAUUUAAAGUUUUAAUCUUUUAAGUAAAAUAAUUUUGAAUUCUACUCUGAGUUGAUAUUUUAAUCACUUUAAAUUCAAAUCAUUUAAGGUUAUUUGAUCGAGCUAUUCAAGUUUGGUUCUUAAUAAAUUUAGAAUGCAAAAUAGUAAUGGCAGUAAUGGAUGAAGAUGGGAUUCCACAGAAACCAGAUAUAGAUGGUAAAAAAACCAACUUCUCAUUAAAAAGAAUUGAAAGAAUUGGUCCACACACGAUGAAACAUUUCUCUUUCUCUGAUGCUUUAUCGUUUUAUCCGACAAGAGAAUAAACAUAUGUUGAUAGAACAAAGCUCAUGUCGAAAACCAUUUAGAAGCAUUUCCUGUGGACAAUUGAUGGACCCGAUUCAUCGUACUCUGCCUUGGCGAUCCACAUCUGCGACCGAAUAGGUUAAUGUAAGACAUCGAUCGAACGAAAUGUGAGCAUGUAAUGUAAAAGUAAAUUAACUUACUUGUUGGAAUGUGCUAAGGGAAGCCAAGAUCGAGCCGCCAAUCCAGACACUAUACUUCCUCUCAGGUGGAGCAACAACCUUAAUCUUCAUGCUGCUAGGAGCUAAAGCCGAGAUCUCCUUGGUCAUUCUAUCAGCGAUACCGGGGAACAUAGUUGUACCACCACUGAGUACAAUGUUACCGUACAAGUCUUUCCUAAUAUCGACGUCACAUUUCAUUAUCGAGUUGUAAGUUGUCUCGUGGAUGCCUGCAGCUUCCAUACCGAUCAUCGAUGGUUGGAAAAGCACUUCAGGGCAUCUAAAACGCUCGGCCCCGAUGGUAAUAAUCUGACCGUCUGGUAACUCGUAAGUCUUCUCUACCGAUGAGUUUGUUUUAGAGGUCUCUAAUUCCUGCUCGAAAUCCAGAGCAAUGUAUGAUAGCUUUUCCUUCACGUCCCUAACGAUUUCCCUCUCGGCUGUGGUUGUGAAUGAAUAUCCACGUUCGGUCAAAAUUUUCAUAAGGUUAUCGGUGAGGUCACGGCCAGCCAAGUCGAUACGAAGAAUAGCAUGCGGGAGGGCGUAACCCUCGUAUAUAGGGACCGUGUGGCUAACACCGUCUCCGGAAUCCAACACAAUACCUACAGAACAAGAUGUAAUUAUGAGAACCAUACUAAAAUUAUUAAAAUCAUUAGCCACUCAAUGGUUACUUACCGGUGGUACGACCACUGGCAUAAAGAGAGAGCACGGCCUGAAUGGCGACAUACAUAGCAGGUGCGUUGAAGGUCUCAAACAUAAUUUGGGUCAUCUUCUCACGAUUUGCUUUAGGGUUAAGAGGGGCUUCGGUAAGUAAAAUGGGGUGUUCUUCCGGGGCAACACGAAGCUCGUUAUAAAAAGUAUGAUGCCAAAUCUUUUCCAUAUCAUCCCAGUUGUUAACAAUACCAUGUUCAAUAGGGUAUUUCAAUGUCAAAAUACCUCUUUUUGAUUGAGCUUCAUCACCAACAUAUGCAUCUUUUUGGCCCAUACCAACCAUUACACCGGUGUGCCGAGGCCGACCGACGAUGCUAGGAAACACAGCUCGUGGUGCAUCAUCCCCAGCAAAUCCAGCCUAAACAUAAACAUUUCAUAAGCCUUUAAUCUUAAUAUUACAUAACAAUAAUAAUAAUAAAAGAGAGGCAAUUUUAAUCAUUUACCUUAACCAUUCCUGUUCCAUUGUCGCAAACAAGGGGUUGGAUAUCCUCGCCCUCUGCCAUCUUCUACAACCUGCUAUACAUUAACAAAUGACAAUCCAGUGAUGCAUAGAUCCUAUUAAGAAAACAACCCAGAAAAGAAAACAGAAAAAUGAAGGGUAAAGGACCUUGAGAAAACGAGGAAGUGGUUGAUGGCAGAGAAAAGCGAGGAUUAAAGCGAGAAGCAGACGACGAGGGAAGAGAGGAGAGGAAGGGGAGUUUAUAAAGGGCAUGAGAGUGAAUGUGAGCCGUUGGAUUAAUUUGUUUUUAUUCAUAUAUUUUUUGGGGAAAAAAAAAAGAUUGGCUUCCAUUCUUAACGGAUUUUCAAGUUAUUUUUUACUUUUUAUUUUGCCAUUUGGUAUUUGUUUAAUGCCUCUCAUUUUCUAAGGUUUGAUUUUGUUUUUUUUCCUUCUAUUUAUUAAUUAUAAUUUUCAAAAUUAUAAAUAUAUCUAUUUUAAAUUUAAAUAAUAUAAUUAUAUUUAAUUUUAAAAACAAAAUAAUUUAAAUUUUUUUAAAUAUAAAUAUUAUAAUAAUAGAUUGUGGUUUCUAAUUUAAUUUUGAAUUAUUAAAAGGUGAAUAUAGAUUAUUAAUUAAAUUUAAAUAUCGGUAUAACAUUAAUUAUAUUUUAAAUAUGUAUUUAGAUUUUAAUAGUGUAUUUAAUUUAUAAAAAAAAUUAUAAACUUAAAGAAGAUUUUUUUAAAUGAUUUUAAAUUUUUACAAUAACUUAUUAUAUAAAAUUGUAAAUUAAAUUAUUGAAUAUAAGUAAAUUAAAAAGAUUUAUUAUAAAAAAUAUAACUUACAAUACACCAUUAAAAAUUAUAUAAAAAGGCGAAGUGGUUUAAUGAAUUCGAUUCCUUAAAAAUUGUUUACAUUUUUUUACUCAUUCAAUAAACAACAUAAAAUCAUAAAUAUAUUUUUAAACAUCAAUUGUAUGAUAAAAGUCAUACCGUCAUCACGAGUAAGUCUAAAAAAAAAGAACUAAUAAGUUAAUUUAAAUGAGGUGUGUAUACUUUUUCUUUCGAGAAUUAUAAGAGGAGGGCAAAGUUUUAACAGUAAAAUGAUUAGCGGGACUUAAAUUUAAAUCACACUUAAGACUAUAAACACCCUAACUAUCAGGCUAACACAUAAAGUUGAAGUAUCUAUAAUUUUAAAAAGUGUUGUAGAUUUCAUAAAUUUGUCACCUUAAUCACGAUAAAAGGAAAUAUGCCAACAAGAUAUCAUGCGAUAAAAGGUUUAGGUGCUAAAUUAAAUAUUGAAGCCAAAAUUAAGCACUUAACUGAAAUAAAAAGAAAACUUAAAUAUCAAAUUGAAAAAACUCAUGUGCCAAAGUGAACAUUAAACCUAAACAUAGAUAUCAAAUUAGAACAAAAAAAUAAAUUUAAGUACCAAAUUGAACAUUAAAAUUAAAUUCAGAUACCAAAUAAUAUAUUAAAUAUAGCAUGUUGAAUUCAAUUCCAAGAAUAAAUAAAUAAGAAAUAGUUACCACCUAAAUUGGUUAUUGAAAAUUAUGAAUAAGAAUAAUUCAUGAUAGAUAUUGUAUUGAUUAAAAAUGUAAAUGGAGAGCAAAAUUGAAAAGUGUUUGAUGUUUAACAUUUCAUAAAUUUGACUGUUGAGUUAUAGAUUGGACAAGUUUCACCAUCAUGAUUUUGUAUUAAAAUUUGAAUUUGAAAUGUCUAAGUUAAAUUUUGGAAUAAGUGUUUGAGUUAAUUUGUUGGGUUUGAUUUUGAACUAUCAUUACUUUAGCUGCUAACCAACCUUCCAACUUAAAAAUAACUAGUUGGAUUGGACCUAGUCUAAGGCUUGAUUUUUUUUCUUUCCCUAGACUCUUCUUUUUGGUUUGGUCUUUACCAUUUUGUAAGCUCAAAUCACUACUUAUUUGAUAUUAAAAAUUUAAAAAUAUCUUUACAUUGAUAAAAUGUAUUUUGAGGAGUCGAUUUUUUUAGGAGAAAAUGUUGCUUGACGGUCUCUUAACAACCAAAUGUAUUGUUCCUCGGUGAUGGUUUUGUCUCCUAUGCUCUACCAAGAGCCAACAUGUCCUAAGCGGUUGCUUAGUGGACCUACUUCUCAUUGUUAGGAGCAUCUUAGUUGGUGGAGUUGUAGAGCUCAAAAGAGAUGUGUCAAUAUAGGCGUGUAAUAAUUAUGAAGCUCACUUGUGCGUGUAUGACCCACUUACCUACAACCAUGGCACCACUUGGGCAAAACUAUUGCUACAAGUGACCUAUAUGCCUCACAUUCAUGGUUUGAGUCCUAACAUGCCUAGUUGAGCUUCAUAAUAAUUAGAUGCCUUAUACUAACACUAUAAUAAUCCAAUUUUCAGUAGUGUUAAAAAAGAUAAUUUUGGAACUCCAUUUUCGUAAACUAAAUCCAUAAAUAUCAAAUAUGAAUAUUCACGGAGUUGGUAUAAUAAAAUUAAAGUUUAGUCCUUCAAUUUUGUCUAUCAAUUGCUUAAUUAGGGUACAAGGACUAAUUGUAAAAGUCUUAUCACUAUAGAUUUUUAAAUAGCUAAAGGUUCCAAAUUGUAAAUAAACCAUUUUAUUUCAUCCAAUAGUGGAGAAUGAUGUUAACAUCCACGAAUUUUAGUUAAUUAUGAUUAAGGUUAAGUAAUUAAGAUUCAAUUAAUUAAUUUUGAUUAAUUAAUAUUUAAACUAAGUAUAUAAAGGUAACUUAGUGCAUUUGUCAUCUUUAUUUUUCUUCUUCUUCUUUUUCUUCUUUUUCUUCUUCUUCAUUGAAGUAACAUAUAACCUAAAAGGAAAAAAAUCAUUUUUGAGCUCGAAGCUUUCGGUCCUUAAUUGGCAACCUUUUCCAAGUGCUUUUCUUGUAAUUUGUAUGUUUUUAAGGUUAUGAAAGCUUGAUUUAGCUAGCCCAUGUACCAAUUUGUAAAACUGUUAAAGUUUUUAGAAGUUGUCAUUGGUGAUUUCUGAAGAAAUUGGUGUUAAGUUGAUAGAUUUUAAGCUUAGAUGUGAAAAAGGACUAAAUUGUAAUGUGUAAAUUGUUAGUUUUGCACAUAAGGACUAAAGUGAAUAAAUUGUGAAAUUUAUAUGAAAUUUAAAUAAUAAUAGAUAGUGGAGGGUCUGAAAUAAAUGUAAUUGAAGUCGGUUUUUAAAUCGAGGCUUAAAAUUGAAAGUUAUAACUAUUUCGAUUUUAGGGACUAAAUUGAAUAAAAUGUAUGUAAGAACCAAUUUUGGCCCGGGCCCUUACAAACACAAAACAAAAAAAGAGAGAGAAUAAAUUAUAAUAAAAAUAUUAUAACAGUCCAAAUAUUACAACCCAUUUACAACAAAUAUUAACAGUUCAUUGGCCCAAAAUAACCCUAGCCCAAUAUUACACAACAAAGCAGGCCCAAAUGGCCUGAAAGUUUGGCAAUCACAGAAACCCUAGGUCACCCUCUUGCGCCGCAACAGCUCCACAGCAGCCUUUAGCCUCUAAGCGCCGUACAACCACCAGCAGCCUCCGUACACGCCAGCUACCUUCGCCACGUUGCCUCCGUACCUGCAAAAGAAGACAAGCAAAGGACAAACACAACAGCAAAUACAAAAAAAUAUAUAGAAAAAAUUGUAUUUUUUUAUUUUAUUUUGAUUUUCCUUUUCUGCUAUAAAGCCAAGAGAUUUCAUCAUCUGUAAACGUUACGUAUACUGAAUACCAAAAAAAGUAAUCAAAAAUCAAAAAGGUUAUCAAAAAGGUGAAUUCAAAAUCUGUUUACUGCCCUUUUUCCGUUUCUAUCGAUUUGUUUGCAAUUUUAGCAUGAAAAAAGAAAAAAGGGAUGCUUGAAUCGAUGCCGAUGAGAGCCCAAAUAUCUCAAAAGUAUGGAAAUGUGGGCGAGGGUCGAACAGUGUUGGGUUUUUGUUACUCUUCUAAUUUUGCUUCGUUUUUUUUAAAGGAUAGUAUAGGAUUUGAAGUUUUUUUUUUAAAAAAAAAAGAAAGAGGGAAAGAGCAAACUUACCAGAUUUCCAUGGUCGUGGCCUCCGUUGGCAAGAUCUGGCUACUGUUCGCGCAUCGUCGGCCACCAAAUAGAAUGGUGAUCCGGUGGCUACAUGCUAAAUGAAGCCCUAACAGAGUGGGUUAAUAGCUUUGUUUCUUUAAUUAAGAGAUUGGAUGUGUUUUAAGAA